rnacentral:lncRNA from 1 species
UUUUUUUUUUGUUUGUUUGUUUCUUUGAUCUGGUUGUUGAGUACGUAUAUAAGGGUCGUAGAUAUCUUUAAGUAGGAGAAAAUGGACAUGAGCUGAAAGACUGGAUUGUUUGCAAAUAAAAGAAAAUGACAUAAUAAUUGCGAAUGCAAGAUAUACAAAGAAGAUUCACUAAGGCGCUUGCUUAUUAUGCAGUAAUAGUAGUAAAUUACGACAUUAUAUUUUAUAUAAUAGCAUUCUUUACGUAAACUGUAAAAUAACACAGACUUAAGGAAAAGUUAUAAUAAACCUUUAAUUCUAAGAAGAAAAUUGGGAUGCAUGGACUUCCUACUUUGCCUUGCAUCAUGUCAGAUAAACUAAAAUCACACUAACUUUAUGACGUGUCACAAUUUCAUCCAAAGAUUGCUUCAAACUUCUCAGCUUGCUUAAUUCAAAGAAUUUUUGCACUUAUAUAUAUAUAUCCCUUUGCUCUAAUAUAUUCUACUUUUGAACUCGAUUAUCUAUCUUUUUGAUUUCCGUUGCCAACGGUGGAAUGAUUAUAUUGUCAAUUAAAAUGCAAAUCAUAGCUGUUAAGCAAAUGGUUGAGUGGAGUUAAGAUUAGAACAUGUUCCUUACAAAAAGAGGUACAAAUCAGUAAUCUUUUAUCUGAAAUAUCUGUUAUGCAUAUGGGGGGGGGGUCUUAGUUUGUUGAGUAUAUUGAGCUCAUGUAAGAUGGAAGCAACAGUGCCUUGAAAGGAAAUAACCAUUAUUCUUCCAUCACUCGUGUUCAGACAACCCCAAAAGCUGGAGGAACCAUGUGGCUUUGUAAAUUAUAGGUUAAGCAAACCGUUCACUACUUUACAAUUUAAUCUAUGAAAUUUCAAAGAAACAGAAAAGGAUAUAGGUCUAUUCAAUUAGUUCAUGUUUUGAAUUGGUAAUUGUUCCAUUAUCAAAUCUUAGAUCCAUGAGAAAGCACUAAUUCUCGUUCAUUUUUCCAAAAAGAGGAAAUAAAAAUAUAUGGAAUUAAUUAAUUUUCAAGGCAGUUUUUAAGCAUUAUAAACAAGUCCUAGCUUGACUUAAUUUGGGAAUUCAUUUAAGUUCAUACUAAUUGAAAACAAUUUGAAGAAGGAAUAUGUUACCAUCUAUAUUCAUGCAAACUUGGCAACAUGAUAAAACAGAAAAGAAACUGGACCGGAGGAUACCCAAAUUUAUACCUCCAUAUCAAAUAAUGAGUACUGCACCGUAUGUGAAAGAUAGAGAUGAAUAAAAAUUUAUCAAAAUCCUGAGUUCCGAUGAUAAUCAAUCUAAUUAAAAUGUUCAAAUAUUAUGUACAUGGUUUUUAAUAUAAUAAAUUCACAUUCGACUUAAUUAUACGGCCGUGUUUAAUAUGAAGAUACUAUCAUAAUUAAAAUCUUACCGUUUUAAUAUUUAAAAGAGGAUAAAAGAAAUUGCAGAAUGUCAUAAGAAACCCAGAUUUUCUGUGGUUUCGUGACUCAAACUUAACUAUAUGUAACCAGGGUGUAUUAAUGGUGUUUCACAAGUAGAUUGACAAAGAUAAGCUUUGUUAAAGGGCAUGAAUUUAGCCUUUUAACCCUUUUGUUUUGUAAAGAUUAAAAACGAGAACGUAACUGAAACCAGACAGCUAAUGCUUGAAGUGUCAUAGCCAUAUAUGCAUGUCUUUUCAAGCAAGAACUUUGUGUUGUCACUAGUAUUGCACAGUGAAAGAAUAGUGUAUCGGAAAAUAGAGUGAAGGAAUUAGGUUUAAUUUGAGGGAGAGAGCAAUGGGCAGUGGUAAAUUUAUGACUCUGCUAACGUUGUUAGCUGUAUUAGGCACGGUGAUGGUUGACAAAGUUGGUUCCCAAAACUAUGGUGAUGCACUGUCAAAGUGCAUUUUAUUCUUCGAAGGCCAGAGGUCAGGAAAGCUGCCAUCUAAUCAGAGAAUGAUUUGGAGAAAGGAUUCUGCUCUUCGUGAUGGCUCUGACCUUGGUGUACGUCUUUCUCUAUUUCUAUGCUACUAUCUAUUACUUUUUUAUAUUUACAUAUAUAACAUUAAAAGCAUGAUUGAAUUUCAGAUGGAUUUAUUAGGCGGCUAUUACGAUGCCGGUGAUAACGUAAAAUUCAAUUUUCCAAUGGCUUUCUCAACCACAAUGCUAGCAUGGAGUGUAAUAGAAUUCGGCCAAUUUAUGGGUCCAGACCUGCAACAUGCACUAGACUCCAUUCGUUCGGGUGCAGACUACUUGCUUAAGUCCACCGACCUCCCUGGUAAAGUCACUGCUGCCGUUGGUAACCCUAUUGCCGAUCACAAUUGUUGGGAAAGGCCUGAAGACAUGGAUACUCCGAGAACCAGUUACGUGGUGAAUCAAACCCACCCAGGCUCUGAAGUUUCUGCUGAGACUGCUGCUGCACUUGCCGCCUCUUCUUUGGUGUUCAAAUCCGCUCACCACUGAUACUCUAUACUACUUGUCAAUAGAGCAAAGGAGGUAAGCAAUUAAAACUAUCUUCUUUCUUUUUCCAAGCAACUCUUUACUGUUUUCUUUUUCUUGGCGUGGAUUGUUAGGUCUUUGAAUUUGCCGAUAAGUUUCGGGGAAACUACAAAGACAGUGUUGGCCAAGGAGUGUGCCCAUUUUAUUGUGACUGGGGUAGCUAUAGCUACAUGGUAGGGCAUCCAGAAAUUUAAUAUAUAGAUUUGGGAGAUUUAAAUGAAUUACUACCAUCGCUAUAGCCCAAAUUUAAAAUUAUUAUUUUGUGCAGGAUGAACUGAUUUGGGGAGCAGCAUGGUUGUUUAAGGUGACAAACACUACACCAAAGCAGGUUUUUAGUGGCGUUUUUAGCGGCGUUUGGAUAAAAAACACCGCUAAAGAUCGAUCAUUAGCGGCGCUUUAUGGAAAACGCCGCUGAAAAUAAGCAUUAGCGGCGUUUUCCAGAAAGCGCCGCAAAAAACCUAAGCCCAACGACUUUGUUUUUCGAGCUUUCGGGGAUUUAGCGGCAUUUUUGAGAAAGCGCCGCAAAAAAACAUAACCCCAACGACUCCGUUUUCUGAGCUUUUGGGGAUUUAGCGGCGUUUUUAAGAAAGCGCCGCUAAUGCUCAGGGCUUUAGCAAUGUUUCUGAGAAAGCGCUUCAAAAAAAAAAUAAGCCCAACGACGUCGUUUUGUGAGCUUUCGGGGAUUUAGCGGCAUUUUUAAGAAAGCGCCGCUAAUGCUCAGGUCUUUAGCGGCGUUUUUGAGAAAGCGCCGCAAAAAAACCUAAGCCCAACGACGCCGUUUUGUGAGCUUUCGGGGAUUUAGCGGCGUUUUUAAGAAAGCGCAGCUAAUGUUCAGGUCUUUAGCGGCGUUUUUGAGAACGCGUUGCAAAAAAACCUAAGCCCAACGACGCCGUUUUCUGAGCUUUCGGGGAUUUAGCAGUGUUUUUAGUAAAGCGCCGCUAAUGCUCAGGUCUUUAUCGGCGUUUUUGAGAAAGCACCGCAAAAAAACCUAAGCCCAACGACGUCGUUUUGUGAGCUUUCGGGGAUUUAGCGGCGUUUCUAGUAAAGCGCCGCUAAUGCUCAGGGCUUUAGCGACGUUUUUGAGAAAGCGCCGCAAAAAAACCUAAGCCCAACGACGCCGUUUUCUGAGCUUUCGGGGAUUUAACGGCGUUUUUAAGAAAGAGCCGCCAAUGCUCAGGGCUUUAGCGGCGUUUUUGAGAAUGCGCCGCAAAAAAACCUAAGCCCAACGGCGCCGUUUUCUGGGCUUUCAGGGAUGUAGCGGCAAAAGAUUCUGGGGGCUUUGGCGGCGUUUUUGAAAAAGCGCCGUUAAUGCUGGGGGCUUUAGCGGCGUUUUUGGAAAAUCGCCGCUUAAAAUAUUUUAUCUUAAUUGGUUUAUUCAUAUUAAAUAAAAUUCAAUUUAUUUCUAAUUGAAUAUUUAAAAUCUUCAGAAAAAAAAUAAUGACACGUAGAAAUAAUUUGAAAUAAAACACAUGGAAAAAUUAAAAUACUAUUAUUUAAAAUAAUUGUAAAAGAGAUAAUAAUAAUUUGUUUAGGGUUUUUAGUUUAGGGUAUAUGAUUUAUUUAAGAUUUAAGACCGGUUUAGGAGUUCUUAUUUUAAGGUUUAGGGAUUAUGGAUUAGGGGUUGGGAUUUAAGGUUUAAGGGUUAGAGGGUUAGGGGUUAGACGUGCUAGGGGUUAAAAGUUAGGGAUUCAGGAGUCGAGUUAGGGUUUUGGGUUCAGAUUAAUUAUUUUUUUAAUUUAUAUUUUAAAUAUGUUCUUAUAUAAUUGUAAAAGAGAUAAUAAUAAAUUUGUUUAGGGUUUUUAGUUUAGGGUAUAUAAUUAAUUUAAGAUUUAAGGCCGGUUUAGGAGUUCAUAUUUUAAGGCUUAGGGAGUAUGGAUUUAGGGAUUAUGGUUUAAGGGUUGGGAUUUAAGGUUUAGGGGUUAAGGGUUUAAGGGUUAGAUGUUAGGGGUUAAGAGUUAGGGAUUUAAGGCUUAGGGAUUCAGGGGUCGAGUUAAGGUUUUGAGUUUAGAUUAAUUAUUUUUUAAUUUAUAUUUUAAAUUUGUUCUUAUAUAAUUGUAAAAGAGAUAAUAAUAAAUCAAAUAUAUUGAAAUUAUGAGUAUAAUUUAAAUUAUUUGAGAGAUAUAUAAUAGAUAGACUUUAUAUGUAUUGAAUGGUUAAUUUAGGGUUUAAGGUUAAGGUUUACUUGAGAUUUGUUAAAUGAUAACAUUUUAUACAAUUAAUUAGUGCUUUUAUAUUUUAAAAAAUUUAAUCUAAACCAUUUCAUAUAUUUAAAUAUUAGUUUAAAUAGAAUUAAUAAAUAAGUUAAAAAAAUGUAAUAGAUUGAUAUGGAUAUUUAGGUAUAAUUAUUUAUUUUGGAGAGGACCAAAUUAUAAGAAAAAAAAUACAAAAAUAAAAAUGAAAUAAAAAUGAUAUGAAUAUAUAGGUAAUUAUUUAAUUUAGAUAAUUCUAACUUAAUAAUUAAUUACAACUAUUUUAUCAUUUGUUUUCUUUUUAAAAUAUACAAUAUUUAUUUUGAGAGUACUUGUUUUUUUUAAUAAAAAAUCAAUUUAUAAAAAACAAAAUAAAAAAAUUUUAGCAUAGCAAAACGGCUUCAUUUUGUUCAAAAUGAAAUAAUAUUUUGCGGCGUUUUUAUAAAAAACGCUGCAAAAGAUAAGCAAUAGCGGCGUUUUCUAUAAAAACGCCGCAAAAAAUAAAUCAAUUUAUAAAAAACAAAAUAGCAAAACGGCAUCAUUUUGUUCAAAAUGAAAUAAUAUUUUGCGGAGUUUUUAUGAAAAACGUCGCAAAAGAUAAGCAAUAGCGGCGUUUUUUAUAAAAACGCCGCAAAAAAUAAAUCAAUUUAUAAAAAAAUAAAAAAAAAAAUUUUAGCAUGCAAAACGGCGUCAUUUUGUUCAAAAUGAAAUAGCAGUGUUUUUAUAAAAAAAAACGCCGCAAAAAAAUAAAUCAAUUUAUAAAAAACAAAAUAAAAAUUUUUUAGCAUAGCAAAACGACGUCAUUUUGUUCAAAAUGAAAUAGCGGCGUUUUUAAAAUAAAUCAAUUUAUAAAAAACAAAAUAAGAAAUUUUUAGAAUAGCAAAACGGCGUCAUUUUGUUCAAAAUGAAAAAUUCUUUGUGGCGUUUUUCAUAAAAAUGCCGCUAUCGUUUUUAUAAAAAACGCCACAAAAAUAAUUUUACUUUAAAAAAAUAGCGCCCUUUUAACAUAGCAUAACAGUGUCGUUUUAUUCCAAAUUAAAUAAUUUUUUGUGGCAUUUUUAUGAAAAACCCAAAAGCUUAUAAAAUAGCAUUUCACUUUAAAAAAAUAGCGCCAUUUUAUAAAAUCCCCCCCUCCGGAAAUCCCCAACUUUCCCCCUAAAAUCCCUAAUUUCCCACAUCCAAGAAAAAAACCCAAAAGCUUAUUCAACUCUAUGUUUCUUUCGAACUGAAGCCAAGCCAGUUCUUGUUUGUUCUUCAUCUUAAAACUCUCAAAUGGAUAAAAGGGGUCCAAAAUCAAAGAACCCAGAACCAAGAAACCAAGGAAACGAUGAGAAAAAGAGCAAAAAGGGAUUGCGACUAUUAGCUCGAGUUAAACCAUCUGAGAUUUUCUUGAAAUCUAUAACCAAGGAUGUUACCAAUGUUCAGAUUACAUACCCUUGCAGGUUCUUUUUCUUGUUCCUUACUAAUGCAACAUAUUCUGUUUUUUAUAUCCCACAAAAGUAACAUUGCAGACACUAUUUUACAGUUGUCUAGUGUUUGAAAAUAUGGAUAUUUGCAGGGAUUGAACUAUGUUGGUUCAAUGUGCUUUUCAGAUUACGCAUUUGUUCUUGUUGCUUCUAACGCCUCUCACAACACACACACAAACGCCUCUCACAUUUCUGCUUAUUUUUAGGGUUCAUUUUUUCUUCUUUUAUUAACCUAAAUUUCAUUUCUCCAUCCCAAAAAUCCUUGGAUCAGGUAACUUUUCCAAUAAAGCUCAUUCAGUUUUUUCCUUUAAAUGUUUUUGCGGGUUAAAAAUCAAAUUUUUUACCGUCCAUUUGUUCAUCUAAAACUUUUUUGAUCCUGGGUUUUGUCUAAUAUUAAUAAAAAAUCUUUAUAUUUGCUUCAAAUUAAAAAUCUCUUCUGCAUGAAGAAAAGCAGCAAAAUUAUGAUUGUUAUUUUUCUGGGAAUCUUGUUGUUCAUUCUUGUUUGAAGAUUAGAUUAGAUUGAAAAUAUUAAUCUAAAAUUCUGAUUCUUGCCUUAUUUGGUUGGUUUGAUAAUGUGGUGCUUAGAAUUAAUAAUAAUGAUGUUUUUGGAAUGAAGUUGUAGCUAAUGUUAAUAGUUACAAGCCUUUGUGGGGGUAAAAUAUUCAUCAGCCUUGAGGUAAUCAAUAUUCAAGUUACAUACAUAUGAUUAGAAAUAUUCAUAAGCUUAUAUAAUUCAUCAGCAUACAAUAUUGGCAUCUGCUCACCCAUUGUUUUUGGUUUGUUGUUGUUGCAGGGAAGUGAGAAGCUCCUUCAGCUAGUCUCAAAUUACUCCAUGGUUUCAAACUUGAAGGAGAAUGAAUCUGAAGUAUGGAACCAAGGAUUCUUCAUGUCACCAAUAGGUAAGCUCAUAUAUACAACCUUGAAAAAAAUGGACAUAAUAUGGGCAUGUUCGGUUCUUCCAACUAUGGGUACUUCAAUGAUGCUUUUAUGGUUUGGCAGCUUCACAUGCAUUAAUAUUUUUUUAGGCAUAAUUUGGAAAUAACCCAUCAUUUUUUUCUUGGAAAACUGGAAAAAAAAGGAAACAAAUUGAUAAUUUUGUAUGUUUUACAUUUAUGUUGUUUGAUAUCUUGUUCUUAUCAAUAGUUUUUUUUUGGGAUGUUAACUUUCAAGAAAAAUCAAUUAUUUGGUUUUUCCUGCUUCAUGUCUCGUUUUUGUUUGAGAGGAGUUAACGAAAUUGAAAAUACCCUGUAAAUUGUAUUUUAUAAAUAUUCUUAACCAUUAUUGAUUGUCUGGUCUCUUUGCUGUAAUCUAUGAUGUUAGGGCCUUCACUAAUUUUCUAUUUGUCUAUUAAUGUGCAGGAGCUGCGACAAUAUAUUUUUUGAUGCAUUUAGUUGGCUUGCAGUUUAUGGUUAUAUAGUAGAAGAGAUAAGCAUAGAGAAAUGGUCGAUCACCCACACUAAUUUCUUGUCCUGAACAGUCUUCUUCAUCUGUUAGUAGCCAUUGUUUUGACAAUCAUAGUAUAAGAGGAUCACCCACAUCAACAGUCAUUGGACCUUCCAAGCAUCGCCAUUCAACUCUCGGGGAUCCCAAUUUUGUGGAGAAUUACUUCAAGGUAUUGAAUAGAUUAAAGAUUUCCUUUUCNNNNNNNNNNNNNNNNNNNNNNNNNNNNNNNNNNNNNNNNNNNNNNNNNNNNNNNNNNNNNNNNNNNNNNNNNNNNNNNNNNNNNNNNNNNNNNNNNNNNGAUUAGUUCUCUAUAAUCCUUUGCGAUAUUUGCUUCAAGCCAAUUGUUCUGCCCACCUCAAUUAUUAGGAAUGUUAAACCUUUAUGUGGCUAAUUGUUUGAGUAUGCCUUAUUGAGUUAAUUACCUUUAUGUGGUGAUAGUGGGUAUGUUUUAUUUUAUUUUAUUUUUGCAGUCUUGAUUUGUUUGUAAUUGUCGUAUCCUUAAUUCCUUUUGAUAUUUUUCUUGUAUUUCAGAGUGGGAAAGACAUCUUUGAUGAAUCAAUAUCCUUUAUUUUGAGAUACAUGCUUUGUUUUAGCACAUUAUAUUUGAUUGUUAGUUGCAUUGAAAGACACACAAUGACAAUUACUAAUUUGUUAAGAAAGAUGUGAUUACUUUGAAAAAUUCAAUUGUUUAAAUUAUUUUCCUAGCCUACUUUGAUUGCUGUUAUUUGUGGGAAAAUUAGUCUACAUUCUUUAAGCUGAUCUUAAACUGCUUCCUACAUUGUUUCAGCCUUGGGAAGAAAGUUUGCAGGAUGCACACGAGUUUGGAAAACUUGUUCUAUUUCAAAACUUGGAUCCAGCUUACUCUUCAGCAGAAAUGGAGGUAAUAUUUAUUAAGAAUCACAAUUAGGUUGUGUUUGAAGCAUUUUGUAUUUACACGCAUAUAUUUCAGUUUUCUUUCACUUUUCCUCUCCCUACAUGUGUGGUUUGUACCUUUUAUCUUUCUUAUGAAUAAUGCAUGUUUAUAUUGCAGGAUAUAGUUUGGAAUGCCUUCAAUGAAAGUUUCAGAGCAAAGAUGGUGCAGCAGACUGCAUUGUAUUUUUUAUUACAUUACAAUGUGUAUAGUCAUAGGCAGGUUUAACUAGUCAGUCUGUUUCUCAUAUGUAUUAUUUAUUUUAGUUUUGAUUCUAAAUUUUUAUUUUUACUUUAAGAUUUACGAAAACUUGAGUUCUAACUUUUGGAUUUUAAUUGUGUUAUUAAUUUAUUAUUUUAAAUUCUAAAACUAAAUUCAUUAAUUUUUAUAUUUAGUUUUAAAGUUAAAAUUUUCAUAGAAAAUUUAAUUUAAAUAAUAUUUUUUAUUUACCUUGAAAGUAUAUUUAGAGUUCACAUUUAAAAAAUAAAAUAAAAUAAAAUAUUUAUCAUAAAUAAAUAUUAUUUUAUUAAAAUAAUAUUUUUAGUUAUGUUUUUAGUGGCGUUUUUGCAAGAAGCGUCGCUAAAGGUUUGUUCUAUAGUGGCGUUUUUGAUAAAAGCGCCGCUAAAGGUCUUGAUCUAUAGCGGCGUUUGUAGAAAAAGCGCCACUAAAGGUCUUGAUCUAUAGCGGCGUUUGUGGGAAAAUCACCGCUAAAGGUCUUGAGCUAUAGCGGCGUUUGUUGUAAAACGCCGCUAAAGAUCCUGAUCUAUAACGGCGUUUAUGGAAAAGCGCAGCUAAAGGUCCUGAUCUAUAGCGGUGUUUGUGAGGAAAGCGCCGCUAAAGGUCUUGGUCUAUAGCGGCGUUUAUUUCCAAAAACGCCGUAAACGUUUGCGGCGUUGACGACAACGGCAUUUUUUGCGGCGCUUCUUUUAGUGGCGCUGAAAAUCGCCGCUAAAGGCAUAAAAACGCCUCUAAAAACCUGUUUUGGUGUAGUGAAAGGAGCAAAAGUACUGGGAUUACGUUCAAAACAACAUUCCAAAUCUACCAAGACGAGUUAUAAGGCUUGUAAAUGGUGAUUUACAAGCUGCUAAAACUUUUGCUGAAUUCGGAUGGGAUACAAAGGAUGCCGGUAUUAAUGUACUUCUUUCCUAGGUAAAUAAUACUGAUAAUCUAAUUAUCCCUUCUUCAAUUUGAUUUUCAAUCAUAAAACAAUUUAUAACAUAUAUGAUAUUCUAGAAUUUGGUUUUGGUUGUGCUUUGCAGUUGGUAAUGAACUCGACUAGUGCUGAACCUUAUGUUCCCCAAGCCGACAGGUUCGUGUUCAGCGUCUUGCCUGAAUCACCGUACAAGUCUGUCACAUACUCUCCAGGUUGCCUACUUAAUUUCAACUUAAAUUGAACUUUGAACCUUACACCUUAAAUCCUACAACAAUGAUUUGUAAAAUGAACAAACUAAUGAUAGGUGGGCUUUUGUUCAAAUCUGGUGGAAACAAUAUGCAACACGCCACUGUCCUUUCGUUUCUUCUUCUUGUUUACGCUCAGUAUCUGAAAAAACUUGAUGGAUCAGUAAAUUGUGGCACUUUUGUUGCAGCACCAUCCAUGCUCAAGCAAAUCGUAAAAGGCCAGGUAAGUUGACAUGAACAUUAGGUUCUUUAGAAAUAGACCUCCACUUAUCAGUCGGUUCAGACCUCCACUUAGUUUCACCCAAGCUUCAUCCUGGUCAUGGAUAGAUCACCCAAGUUCGGGUCCAUAAGCAGUGACAAUUGCCCUAUGAAGACUCACUUUCGCUACGGCUCUGGUGGGUUCCCUUAAUCAAGCCAUUGCCUAUGAGUCGCCGGCUCACUUUUGAACAGGCACGCAGUUAGAGCCCUAGGCUCCUUCCACUACUUGGGAGCUUACAGUUUCAUGUUCUAUUUCACUCUCCGACAGGGGUUCUUUUCACCCUUCCCUCACGGUACUACUUCGCCAUCGGUUACCCAAGAGUAUUUAGCCUUGCAAGGUGGUCCUUGCUGAUUCACACAGGAUUCCACGUGCCCCAUGCUACACGAGUGAAAGCGUAAGCUAGUGAUGCUUUCGGCUACUGGACUAUCGCCAUCUAGGGUUUGACACUUCACUGCUUCGCCUAGCAUCAUGACGCUUUUAUUGCUCUCCUGCAACCCCGUUUUCAACGUUUAGGUUGCAAUAUUCAUUUACAGUCCUAUGAAGUCUGAACAGGAUCCCAUCUAAAUCGAAACAUAUAAGCUUACACAAACAUUUGAUUGAUGCAUGUAGACUACAUACUGGGAAAGAACCCUCUAGAGAUGUCAUACAUGGUGGGAUUUAGUCAAAAGUUUUUGAAGAGAAUACAUUAUCGGGCUUCCUCUUUACCUUCCAUAGGUGCACAUUCAAGGCACAUCAAAUGCAAAGACGGAAGCCCGUACUAUGAAACCUUAAAACCAAAUCCCAACUUUCUCACAGGAGCUAUUAUAGGAGGACCAAAUAUGAAGGAUCAAUUUCUUGAUAAUCGGAUGAAUGCUGGUGAAUCAGAGCCAACCACCUAUAUUAACGUGCCUUUGGCUGGGUUCAUCGCAUAUUUCAAAGCAUUUCCAUAACUUUGAGCUCCCCAUUUUUUGUUAAGGACUUUGAGCUAUUUGGUUUACACACAAAGAUUAAAACUCAUUUGUUGUUGGCUAAUUAAUAAAAGGGAAAAGAAAAAUAGUCCUAAUGGCGGUGGUGUUAGUGUCCUGCCUCUUAUAUGAGAAGAGUUAUAAGAUGUAAAGUAAGAGAGAUAUGCCAUGGAAAUCCACAAAUGAUGAAUGAUUCUACAAUAAUAAUAGGAGAAGAAGAGAAACAUGCAUUGUUUACAACACCUUUUAAGUUCUAGAUUAAUUUACAUUAGAAUUCUAAUAAUAAAUCAUAUCAAAAUCUUCAUCAUUAGGUACAUCAUAGUUCUAAUCCUAAAGGUGUGGAUAUCUAUUAAUAAAUGGGUUAAAUAUAAAAUUCGAACUUGUCCAUUUUUUCUAAAUUGGUGCUUAAACUUUUUUUCCGUCCACUAGUUUGGUACUUAAGCCUAACAACGUUAAGAUUUUGCUGACGUGACGGCAUGCAAGCAACUUAAGUCCCUUUUGACCCGUAUUGAUCCGACCCUUGGUAAAAAAUGAUUAAAAUCAUCAUUUAUUAAUAAAUAAAUAAAUAAAUGUUUUCCUUCGGUUACUAAAUCGAUUGAAACAAAAAGCUUUUUGAUUUCUUAAGAAACCUUUUGGAUUAUCCUUGAACUUCAAAAGCCAUAUAUGAUUUUAUUUUAUUGACACUGAAUCCUUUCACCACUCUCGUUUCCAUCCUUCAACAUUUGUGCGAGAAAGCCUUUCGAUUCCAUUUGAAAAGUUCUUCGAUUACCCAUCUCAGAAACCUUUUUGAUUACCCAGCCAUCUGAAAAAUUCUUCAUCAUCUCACUGAAAGAAGCCUUGUUUCAUCAUCGUUUAGUCAGCCCUUUCAAUUACCCAACCAUUUGUGGUAUUUAAAUCAAGAUUGCCCUAUUUUCAUCAUCGAUUACUAGUAUUUUACUCAACCUUUCAAGGUGUUUUUUUUCAUCAUUGAUCACUUAGCAUACCUUUUUAUUGAUUGGGUAACUUUUUUUACCUAUAUAGAAAACACUUUUCAUCAUCGAUGUGUUUUUUAUUGUGUGUGUUUUAAAAAUAGAAAGUUUUUGGUUUUUCUCUGCUUGAAUUUUGACUCAUUCUCAGAAAGUGACAAAUUUUUAUUAGGACCAUCGGUUUUCUAGUUUAAAGAAUGUUUAACAUUCUUUCUUAUUGUUUAUAUACUUUAUUAGUAUUAUAACUAAUUUCUAAUUUUUUUUGUUGUUGGUAUGCAUGUGUUUGUAGAUAACUUCAUACUGAAGGGAAUUCUAUUUUAAGGGUUAAACCGAUUGAGGAUGAAAGGCCAGUCUAUUAGUAUAUCUGUUAUGUAUGUAUAUUAUGUAUGUUAUGUAUAUUAUUGUUUAUGUUUGUAUAUUACGUAUGUUAUGUAGUAUAUUACUGUUUUUGUAUUUUAUGUAUGCUAUGUUAUGUGUAUUAUUGUUUAUGUAUGUAUAUUAUGUAUGUUAUAUUUAUUAUUGUUUAUAAUAUGUAUGUUUAUCAUGUAUGUAUAUUACAAUUUAUAUUUUGUAUGUGUAGUGUUUUAUCAUGCCUUGGGAUAAAUGUAUGGUGCAUAUUAAUUUGGGUGGAAUUUUUUUGUCAUAGACCCUUGUGUAGCCUAUGUAGUAGGGGAAGUGUUGCAAUGGGAUUUUGACCUAGAUUUCCUGUGUUAUUCCACUUUGUGUGAGAUGGUAGUGAAAGCUAGGUAUAUAGCUGUAAAGAACUUUGUAUACUGUGAGGGUAGGUUAGAUUUUAGUAAGGGACUGAGUGUUUGCUAUGAAAAUUCAUCAUUCAUAGCAAUGAUUAAUCGUAAUAGAAAAAUAGUGUCCAUACAUGUAUAUGUUGAACACGAGGUAGACACACCUGAUGCUAUUGAUGAUACCAUGUUGUUGUUUUCCACUAAGGAGAGGGAAGUAAAUAGAGGGGUUGGGGAACCAAAUUGUAAUAAAGAAUUAAAUUGUAAUGAGAGAGUUAAUGGUAGGGCUGAAAAACCAUAUACCGAGUUAGGUGGAGAAUCUAAUAUGGGACUAGAGUUGGUUGAGAGUAGUGAUGCAUGUGCUGAGAGUGGGGAAAGUUCUGAAAGUAGUGAGACUAGUGAUACAAACAACUCAUUAGGCAGUGAAGGGGUUUUAGAGGUCGAAUCUGAGGAUUAAAAGAUGAGAAAUAUCAAAGCUUGGUAUAGAAAUUAUAAAGGCAAUAAAAAGAACCAAAGAGAAGCAACAAAUAGGGUUAAUAAUGAGGGUUAAAAGGUAGGUGAAGGUAGUGAAAGGGGAGAGAAAAAUGGUGAGAUUUCAGAUCCAACAGGCAGGAGAACUGAUUAUGUUGAUUCAUUAGAUUUGGGGCCUUAUGGAAGUGAUUCAGAUGGUGAGGUAGUCUGUAAGAGAAGCCGAAAUGUAUGUUUCAAUCCUAAUAACCCAAUCUCACAUUUAGAGCUUGGUAUGGUGUUUAAGGGACUAGAGGAAUUCAAGACUACUUUAGCAAAGUAUGUAGUAAAAAGGAGGUUUGAUAUUCUCUACCUUAGGAAUGAAAAGGGUAGGAGUAGGGCUAGAUGUAGGGAAGACUGCUGCUCUUUUAAAAUGUAUGCUAUUGUAGAUAAUAAUGUGAGUUUUUCAAGAUAAAAAACCUUCAUAGAAACCCACAAGUGUUCAAUAACUUUUAAGAACAAAAUGACAUAUUAAAAGUUUGUUAGGGAGCAUUACUUAAGUAAAAUCAGAGUGAUUCCAAAGCUGAAGUUAACUGAGAUGCAAAAACUAGCCAAUGAAGAGUAGAAAGUUAAUUUAAGUAGGGGUACAUACAGUAGGGCUGGGAGAUGGGCACUGAAGGAUAUCAAUGGAAGGGUAAGUUAUGAGUUUAAUAGACUAUGGGACUACUCAAAUGCAGUUAGAAAGAUAGAUCCAGAUGGCAAUAUAGAGGUGAUUGUAGAAAGACCAACCCAUACUAAGGUUCCCAAGUUUAGGAGAUUUUAUGUAGGGUUUAGUGCAUCGAAAAAAGAGUUUCUAAAGUGUAGUAGACCUUUUAUUUGUCUAGAUGAAUGUUUUCUAGAGGGAAGAUUCAAUGGGGAACUUUUGUUUGCUGUUGGUAGAGAUGGCAAUGACCAAAUCUAACCUAUUUCAUGGGUAAUUGAGGAGAAUGAAAGCAAAGAAACAUGGUGUUGAUUUAUUAAGAAUCUAAUUUUAUAUUUACAAAUUGGAGAUGGUUCUAGAUUCACAUUCAUGAAUGAUAAACAAAAGGUAUGUUAGGGACAUUACUUAAAUAAUUUUUUUAUACUAUGCUUAAUUUAUUAAACCAACCAUCUAAUACCAGUGGUUUUUGUUUGCAUUUAGGGAUUGAUGGAGGAGAUAUCUGAGUUGUUGCUAAGGGUUAAGCACAAACUUUGUGCAAGGCAUUUAUAUGCCAACUAGAGGAAAGAAAAUCCUAGAGGAGACUUGCAACAAGCAUUUUGGGGAGCAUGCAAAUCAUAUAUAACAACUGACUUUGAAGAUCACAUCGAAAAGAUUGACCGUAUCAAAAAUAGUGUCAAGGUAAGUCUACUUAGGACUGAUCCUGAACAAUGGUUAAAGGCUUUUUUUCUGGUAGGUCUAUAUAUGAUGCAACUGACAAUAAUUUUUCCAAGUCCUUUAAUGCAAUGAUUUUAGGAGCUAGGUCAAUGUCUAUCAUUUCCAUGUUAGAAGAAAUUAGGCAAUAUGUAAUGGGGAGAAUUGUAAACAAUUUCAUCAAAUGUAAAAAUUAGAAUGACCAAUUAUGUCCUAAGAUAUGUGAGAAGUUACACAAGAGUAUCCAAAUGAGUUCAUACUGUCAUGUUAAAUGGAAUGUAGCAGAAGGGUUGGAAUUUGCAAACUUUGGUGAUUUUGUAGUUGUUGAUUUAUUUUAGUGAUCAUGUAGUUGUAGGAGAUAAGAUCUUACUGGCAUCCCAUGUCCACAUGUUGUUGCAGCCAUUUUCUGGAAAAAAAUAUGAUAUUUUUUAUUUUGUAUAUAAAGGGUUUAAAAAAGAUGUUUGAAAAAUUGUAUGACUUUGUAUUGCCUACUACCCUAAGUGAUAAAUUUUGGUUAAAAAUCGAUAUGGGGCCAAUUGACCCCUCCCUCAUUCUAAAUAAAAUGCUUGGGAAGCCAAAAGAGAAUAAUGUAAUAGAAGAGGGAGAGAGGAGUGGGAGUAAACUGUCUAGAAGAGGGAGAAAGAUAAAGUGCCACAAGUGUUUCAUGGUUGGACACAACUCCAGAAGCUUUCAAACUUCAUCUGUUGUAAGUGUUUUGAUAACUAAGAAUUUUAAUGCAAUUGUUCACUAAUUUAAGAACACCUAACAUGUUAUAUUUGAAGUGUACACCUCCACCAGCUCAAAUAGCUCCUGCUUCACUACCUCUAGUAGCUUCUACUCCAUCAACUCCUUCUGAUCUUGCUCUAUCAGCUCUUUCUGAAACUGUUGCAUCUGAAGCAUCUGCAUCAUCACCACCAACGCCUUCAACACAACCAACUAUUCCCACUAUGCCAACCUCUUCAACACAACAAAUACUUACAAGACUUAGUAGCAAGGGUAAACAAGUUGUGUAAGGGAUUGGGUUAUACACUAAUGAAAGGACAUGGAUGCAAAUUUUGAAUGUAAGUUACCAAUUGUUGGAUUGUUAUGAUUAUUGUAUUUUGGUGACAUGUUUUUUAAUUAUGUAUUUUAUGCAUUGCAUCUCGGUAUGAGAGGGGAAACCAUGGUGACUACCCUAACCAAGUGCACCAAUAAAAAGAAGAGAAGUAGCAACUAGGAAACUGUUGGUGGGACUCAGGAAAAUAGGAAUUUAAAAAAAGCUAAGUCCUAAGAUCCUCCCAAGCACAAUCGUAAGUCAUGGAGAUAGUUGAUGUCAAUCUAAUUUCAUAGAAGAGUUAUGGACUCUGUUUUGUUGUUUAUACCUCCCAAUUGACUUCAGUAAGCCAUGGAUAAUUUGAUGGUUUUAUUUUGAUGGUUCUAUUUUGUUGGAUAGUUUAUGUUGAUCCUUUAUAUGAUGGUUGUAUUGGAUGGUUCAAUUUUUUUGAUGUAGAUUUUGGUAUCUGCAUACUUUUAUGAUAAAAUUUUACAACAACAUAAAAAUAUUUUCCAUUCAAUUUAAUUCAUCCAUUCUUAAUAAGAUAUGUAACAAAUACAUUUACAACAUUUCACCAUCCAAAAGUAAGAUAACCCAAAAACACCAUCUAUGAAACAAUCAACAACUUAUAAAAAACUAUUACUUUCUUGUUCCUUGACAUUUUAGCCUUGUACAGUGUUAUAUUCUCUUCCAAACAAGUUACCUAAAAUCACAUUCUUCGCAUUUCCUUAAUAUUGAGCUCAUCGUUCUCAAGUUUUAAUCUCAUAUUUCUUGUCAAUAGCAUCUUAUUUUGAAGCAUUAUUUCAUCGAUUGUGCAUCCUUAUUCUUCUGUAAUUGAAUCCAUCCCGUAACUGUUACCUUCAACCUACCAAAAAAAAAAAAAUCAAAACCCCUGGUCUUCAUUUCUCACAUACAAAAAAAAAAACACAGAAUAUUAAAAAUCUAAGAAUACAUCUUAAACCCAAAUUGAAACAAAAUGUCAAUACACACAAAACCCAUUGUUUCUCACAAACCCAACUAUGGCAGACCAAAACACAGACCUUAAUUUACCUAUUUGAAGUUUGCACAACUAAAGAAAAUUUUCCCUUAGUUCUUUGGAGUAUUCGCGUUGCAAACGAGAGCCCUUAACCUACAAUGGCAAUACAAAAUCUUAACGCUGUUAGGCUUAAGUACUAAACUAGUGGAAGGGAAAAAGGUUACGGUACAAAUCUAAGACAAAAAAAAAAGUAUAAGUACCAAUCUAUUAGAAGUGGACAAGUUCAAGUACCAAAUUUAUAUUUAAACCUUAAUAAAUAUUAUGCGUUGAUAGAAUAUACUUUUAAAAGAUUCUUGCAUUAAUAAAAACUUGUUUGCAAAACUUCAAGUCAAGAAAAAGAAUAAGCUUAAUUUAUAAAUUGGUAUUUAUUUUUUUGUAUUUAAAUAUUUUUAAAAAUAAAGAAAAUUUAUUCAAUUAGUUCAACCAGUUUUUUAGCUUGGUUCAAUCGGUUUGUAUUGGCUCAUGAUUCAAUUGAUUCAACCCAUAUCUUUUAGACUAGUACCUUGGUCAAUUCCUUAUGUAAACAGUUCAAUCAAUUAAUUUAGUUCUAAAAAUGCUAAUUUUGAUCAGUGAAAGAGCUUUUUUGAUCUUGUCAAGUCAAGUCAAGUCAAGUAAGUAGGUGUUGAAGUUUAAAAACAAAAUUAUUCGCCAGCAUCUCAACUUGGGGAGGGUGAAGUUCAAGCAUUGUCGGUAUUGCCAAACAUUAUAAAAAAUUAACGAGGAAAAAUAGAAAAAAAUAAAGAGAGAAAUAAUGUAAAAGAGAAAUACAAACUAUUUUUUAAAGUUUAAAUGACAUGAUAGUCUACUAUUGGCUGAACUUUUUUUAAUAAAUAUAACAUUUUGAUUAAAAUUAGUAACAGAAAAAUAAUUUAAGUAUCAUUUAUCCAUAUUGAAAUUUUUUUUAAGAUCUUUUCAAGUUAACUUAUAGACUAAAUUCAUAUAUGUUAAUUACUUGAUUUGUAAACUGAGAAAAAAAAUAGAUUUCUAAGAUGAUUUAUCUCAAAACCCUUCUUUAAAUAAUUUACUAGUUUAUAAUCUUUUUAAGAAUUCUAAUAAUAUUGAGAUAAACAUAUAUAAUAAAUAUAACAAACACUAACCUAGAACUUCUUACAAAAAAUUAUGGGUGAAUUGGAUUAUUUUUGUGAUGUUCCUUCAACAUAUAUUCACUAAUAUAGAUACCACAUUGACCAGAUUGUUCCAACAGAUCUAGGUAAAUACUACCUUUCAUGAGGUUUUUCUUUUUUUCAUUUUCAGGUACCUAAAGUUUUUUAGGAUUUCAUGAUUAGGUGUUUAUUCAAUAAUAUGUAUUUCUAAUAUACAGAAACUAUAAUGCCCUUAACCCGAUUUGAUGAACCGGAUCCCAAUCUUGGGUAUUACCACACAAAUAUAGACACAAGCUUAAACUACUUAUACAGUUUACAGAUAAUUACAACUUACUUAAUUGCAAAAUUUCAAACUAAAAUACAUUAGUAAAUACAAUGAGUAAUUACAACUUCAACUCGAGGUAAUUAAAUUUCAGCAAUACUAAUUUAAAAACCUAAUCUAUUACAGAUACCCUAAAGCAUGGAUUUCUAAGUAGCAAUUUUAAACUUAAAGCAAGCCGCCAACUUGCUCUGUAUGCAUAAUGACCUAUAUGCAUAAUGACUUGAUACGCCACUUCUUAGCGUAGUCUUGACAUCGUCCCUCCCAGCGCAGACUCGCAUCAAUUUACCUGUAACAUAUCACAAACUUAACUUGUCAGAUUCCAUUCGGACUACACAUACAAGCCAACAAACAUUCAUACAAUAGUAUAACCUUUAUAUCAUACUUUUCUGAUGUAGGUUUCAUAGUUCAUUCGAUUUCCACAAAAAUAUCAAGCAUAAACAGUAUACAUGCAAGAGUCAGUUUAGGGAUUCACCUGAUUCUCACCUACUAUAGCUCAAAACUCUAAAUCCAGACUUUCAUCGCACAAGUCAGCAACAACUACUUGACAUGGAGUAAUUACCGGUGAAGAUCAAGAUCUACAACUCCAGCUUGAAGGAGAGAGAAAUAUUGUAAUUUCUUUAAGAUUUAGGUAGCAAUACUUCCUGAGAAAGAAAGAAGAAAAACUCUCCUUUUUCUAUCCUGAAUAUUUAUAUAAAUAACCUAAGCACUAAUUGAAACCUGACACCUGCAUUAAACUUUCAAGACUACCUUUAUAUAUAAAGAAAAUAGGUUUACAAUUGUAAAUGGGAAUUCAAUAUUUUAUAUUUCUAGUCCAACCCUUUGUUCCAUCCUAAUUACCUCAUUAGUACGUAACUAAAUUGAUAACCUAAUAAAUUGGGUGUACAAUACCUUUGGUAAUAACCUAAUUACCCAAAAGUCCUCAUUAUUCUUGCCAAUCUCUUCUUCUUUACAACUCAACACAUUUAGAGAACAAUCCUUGCAUAAUAAUCUAACAUCAACUAUGCGUCCAACCUGUACACUGAAAGAACCAAUUGGCCAGAUAGGGCUUCACUCAAACUACUUUUGGGUUACCCGUCUAACUCAAGGCUCUCCAAAACUAGCUGUUACAGAAACCUUAACUAUUUAUUAUUUUUCUUUUACAAAAAUUUCAUCUUUGGAAUCAAUUGAGCUAUCAUGUUUUGGUUGAUGUUUUUUUGAACUGGACCGAUGAUUAAAUCAGUCAGACCAUCAAUUCCCAAUUGAAUCGGUUCAAAAUUUUAAAUAAUAAAAAAAUUUAAAUAACUAAAUAAGUUCAAUGAUUAAAUCUGAUUCAAAAGAGUCCAAUAACUUUGUUUCUGUUCUUGUUCUUUAAAAAAAUAGUUUUAGAUCUAGAUUUGGUUAUUAUCUCAGUUUUUUUUUUCUCUUUUAAUUUGUCUCUCUUGCUACAAAAAUGGAGAGGAAGCAAUCUUUAUCUUAUGGUUUUCAUUUCAAUUCCAUCAAACAUCAUAUUUGCUGGAUAACAAUUUAUUUUAAUUCGGGUCUCAGUUUACAUUUUUUUCUUCUUAUUUUUUAUAUUUUUUUCUGGCUAGGGAAAAGCACAUUUUCUCAAAAAAUUAACCACACUAAUUUCUUACCCAUUUUUUGGUUUGCGGUUUGUGAUUCAAUCGCAUUUUUUUCGGUUAUUGGUCUAAGAAUUUUUAUACUAGUAUUAAGAUUGGCUACUCAACUAAUUAUCGGUUCGUCCUGUCCGAUUUAAAUAACAUUGACUUUGGGCAUGGCUUACUUUCGUUUGCUCUUGGAAGUUAUCCUAUUGAAACAUGAAACCAAAGUGGAGUAUUUCAACUGGUACAUGAGACUAUUCUCAUUAGGUUAGUAAAUACAUUUGACAAUUAUUUGCAAGAGUUACUAAAGAAUUAUCUUAGAAUAUUCUAGCUCAUAUUACUUUGUAUGAGUAUCUAGAUAUAAUAAUGAUAAUUCCUUUUAUUUGAUUUCUCUAUUCAUUUGAUUAUUCUCUCCCCCUAAUAUUAGGAAAAUCACCUCAUGAAAUGAUAAUUGACAAAAUAUGUCAUAAAUGAAUCUCCAAUUAAUGUUCAAGAUAUUUAAUAAUAAAAAGGAACUCAUAUAAUAUAUAUAUCACAUGUCCGAAAAUUCCAAAAUGAUAUAUAUUUAACUCCUGACCAAAAGUCAAUUGUAACCGUAAGUAUUUAUUAUAGCUUUUUGACUUGAUGUGUACAAAUACUGUCGCAUGUAAAAUAUUAUUUCUCUAUAUAUGUAAUGACCCGAUUUUCAGUGGUAGUAGAGAAUACGGUUUUGAAAUCCCAUUUUUACAAACCGAGUCUGUAAAUAUUAAAUAUGAAUAUUUAUAGAGAUGAUAUCAAAAUAUAUUAAAGAUUGGUCCUGUAAUUUUGUCGAAUUAAUAGUUAAUUAAGACUUAUGCAUUAAAUUGUAAAAGUCCAAUCACUAUAGAUUUUUAAUUUAUAAAAGGCUUGAGAAUUAAAAUAGCAAUUAGCCGAAGGUCUUAAAUGACAAUUAAACCAUUUUUAAAUAGGAGAAAGUGGAUGAUGAUGGUAAAAUCCACUAAAUUUGAUUAAGUUAAAUUAAGUUAAUUAAAUCAUUUUUAUGAUGAUUAAACUAGUUUAAUUAAACAUUAUUCAAGCUAUAUAAGCAAAGUUAGUGGGAAAAGAUGUUAAAUUCAUCUUUCAUCUUUAUCUUCUUGUCAUCCACGAAAAAGAAAAGCCUAAGGGAGCUUUAAACCAUUCGGUAAAAAAUUAGUAGGUAAAAUCAAUUCCUUUUCUUGUAUUUUUUUAUAGAUUUGAGGUCAUGGGAGAUUGGUUUAGCUAGUCCAUGUACUAAUUUGGAAAACUAUUAAAGUUUUAGAAAGUUGUCAUUUUUGAUUUCUUGAAGAAUUAGGUUUUAAAUUGAUAGAUUUUAAGAUUAGGUUAUGAAAAAGACUAGAUUGUAAAGUUAAUUUAGCUUAUUAAUAACUCUGUUACAUUAGGGACCAAAUUGAAUAAAUUUAAAACUUGUCGUGAAAUUAUGCUAGAAAUAGAAAUUCUAAGGCCUUAAUGAAAGUAUAUGAAAUUGGAUUUUAAUUUUAAGCUAAGAAUCGAAAGUUAUGUUUAUCCCGAGUUUAAGGACUAAAUUGAAUAAAAUGAAAUUUUGAGGGAAACCAAAAAUUAAAUUUUUAUAGAAUCAUGCAUAUCAUAGCGUAUGAAAUUUUUUUUUGUUAUUGAUUGGUGUAAUAAAAUAAUUAUUUAGAUCAAGAAUUGGAUGAACGUGGAGUUAAUUGAGAAAAAACUAAAAUUUGUUGAUCUAAAUAAUUAUUUAGUCCUUAAAGAAUCAACUUGUUUUGGUGUUUCUAAUAGGUAAGUUCAUAUGAAACUUACUAUUUUAAUUUAUGUUAUGUGUGAUUUUGUGUCUGAUUUCAUAUAUAUAUAUAUGUUUAGAUAUAAUUAGAAUUCUAGAGAAUUUGGCAUGUAUGACUAAUUAUUGACUGAAUUGAAAUGUCAUGUGAUUAUUGGCUAUUGCAUAAAAGUACAGGGUACAAAUGUGAAAGUUGAUUGAUUAUAGGACAUGUAAAUGAACUCUAUGAUCAUGUACAAGGAUUGGUAAUGACAUAUAUAUGGAAAUUAUGCUCGUGUGCAUUUAGUAAAAGGUUAGGAUACGUUUGGCAUGUCAAUAGGGUUAUACGCGCGCUUGAUUAGGGAUUUUACAUGUUAUAACAAGGUCUAGCAUUUGUUGCAAAUUAUCGAGUUAUAUAUAACAUAGUUUAGCCCGGGCGGGUAACUUGAUAUAAAUUAUAGCUUGUGUUAACAACCCAGAUAUAAAGUUAACUUGUGUGAGCAACUUGGUCACUCGUUUAUCCAAGUCCGUUUUACUAGAGUUCCAUCAGGAGAUAUUCAAUUUAAUUAAAAUGGAAAACUUGAAAGUGAAUUGGAAAUGGAAUAUUAUAUGCUUAUAACUUGAUAUGUGACAUGUGAUUUCCUUAAUGUUAGUAAUAUUACUCAUGAUAUGUAAGUAUGACUAACCUAUUUGGUUGUUAAUGUUGAUAUGUAUCUAGUUGUGCCAAUAUGUGUCAAGGAUAGCCAUUUUGAAUGUCAAGAUGAUUGGUAGUUAUUAUACUUUAAAUAAUCAAGGUAAGUGUGAAAAAUAGAACGUCGAUAAUGGCAUUGUAUCGUAAAGAAAAAAAAUAAAAAUAAAACACACAGAAUUUUUAUGUGGAACCCUUUCUGGGAAAAAAACCACGAGUAAAGGAGAAGAAAACAUUUCUGAAUGAUACAAGAGUAGAGACGAUUACAUCUAUUUUUAGGUUUAAAACACCUUAUUCUAAUCAACAUCAAAUAGAGGAAGUAAACUUCUAUACGAAUUCCACUUCGGCCCUCAGCCUUCGCCUUCGUAGAUCCUCUAUCCUGCCACUUGUAUUUAUUUUAACAAGAAUUUAGGUUACACAACUUCUAACAGUAAGUAUAAUAAUUCUAUUUGAACUUACUAAGCAUUCUUAAUGCUUAAUCUAGUUAUUUUCUUCCCUUGUAGGUCAUCAUCUUGCGAAACUUGUUGAGCCAGAUCAACGAAAAGCACACACUAUCAAAAUAAGGUAGAAUUAUGUUUUUUAAUCCAUUAUUUUGGCAUGUAUAUAAGGAUAGCUUAGUGUAAAAAUAGUCAUGCUCGAGAUCUUGAAAACUUUACAAUUUGGUCCUAUUUUACCCUAUGUUAGCAAAAGAGCUUUUGUAAGCUUGUAUGAGACUUGUGAAUGAUUUAGCUUAAUAUGAAUGUGGAUUAUAUUUAAUUGUGUUUGUGAAUAGUUGUAUGAUGUUUAUGUGAUGUUAGUUCCACUAAUAAUGGUCGUGACAUUCCAUAGCUCAAAUCUAGCCAUCAGGUCGGGUAUUAGUUGUUAAAAUAUAUGUGAAUUUUUUUAUCAUAAGUAAUGACCAAGCUAUUAAUUAGAGGCAUUUAAUCAAUAAUUUUGUACUAAAUCAUUAUGUGUAUAAACAAUAGGGUUUGUAACAUCUAUUCAAUUUUUUAUACAAUAAUAAUUAAAAGCUUGAGAUAUGAAUUCACUAGCAUUAUCAAUACAACUUACCCUAAUUGCAUAAUAUGAAAAUUUUGUUCUUAAUCUAACUAUUUGAUAAAGUAAUCUCACAAACGACAACUUAUGAUUUGAUAAUAAACACACAGCUUCCACAUAUACACAUUGAAUUUAAUCCAAAAAGCAUAAAACAUAAGACAAAAGUAGUGAAAUAAAUAAAAUAAGGAAAGAAGGGAUGUAUAUCUAUUACUUAUUUGUUUACAAUACUUAUACAAAUUUUCUUUAUACAUACGACAAGUUUGAAGGAAUAAAAUUAAUCUUAAUCAUAAUGAAUAUCAUAAUCUUAAUCAAAUAUAUAAAUUUUUUUAUAAUAAUAUAAAUAAAAUUUAUUAAAAAGGUAAUUUUAUUUAAACAGUUAAACUUGUCAGGCCUAGUGUUAAAAUAUUUAUUCUUUUAGAUGUUGGUUGUCAUAUUGUUAUUGAUGUAUUAUAUCAUCAUCACACCAACAAUUUUUAGGGCAUAUAAUAAUUAAGGCAAGUUAGUGUCAAUAGUAGGGUUGUCCUAAACUGAAUCACACCUAUUAUCUUUGAGGAUAUGAAUAGAAAGUUGCAUAAACAAGUAAGUGAUUAAGAGAUAUAGAAUGUUGUCUUUAAUCUUUGUGCUCAUGAUGGGUUUCUUGGACCCUUCUAUCAUCAUUUUUGAGAACUUAAUAAUGAAGAAUUCAAGGCAUACAUUUUAAAUUUGUUUUUUCAAAGUUGGCACUUACUAAAAUAACUUAAUGCUACUAAUAUUUUCCUUGUAACGACUUGAUUUUAAUCGGUGUCGAAAAAUUCAGUUUCAAGGCCGAGUUUACUAAGUUAAGGAAGCCCAAAAGGUUUUAAUUUAGCAAUUACAAGUCGAAUACGAAAUUAGGAAGUAGAAUCAUGAAGUAAAUAUGUAAAUAUAUUAUUAAGUAUAGUGCAGUAACUAAGUUGCUAGUGACUUGAAUUUAAGGAAUUAAAAAUGGAACUUUACAAGCCUUAAGUGUGCAAUUGAACCACGAUUCAAAGGUAAUUUUCUCAUAAUUAUUUAAGUUAGUGGCUUAACUUAAUCUUAUCUGUGUUGGAACAUUUUCAAAUAUUUAUAGUAUUCCAAUAACUAUAAAUGAAUGAGUGUAAUUAAUAAAAAGAUUAUAUUAUUUGAUUUUAAAAAAAAUAUAACUAGUUAAAUAAUAUUAUUUCAAUAUUUAUAAUAUUAAAUGAAUAAUUAUGUGUUUAUUUUAAAGACAUUAUUAUUCAGAAAGACACCUAUUGAUGAAAGAUGUCUCUAUGAAGAGACAUGACAAUUCCUAUAAAUAGGAAUAGGAUUUCAUUUGGAAAACACACCAAAAAAAUUCUAAUAUUCUUUAUUUCCUUCCUUCAUUUUCUAAUAUUAUUAGAUUAUUCUAUAAAGUAUUACUGCAGAAAUCCUUUGUAGAAAUUGAGUUUCUGUUAUACAUGCUCAGUGUGUAGUGGACUAUUCUUGUCAGUGCAAAAUGCAAAUAGUCAUUAACUUCAUUGUAUCCUCGAGGUUAACUUUCUUGGAACUCAUUUGCACACCGAAGAUAAGUGGGGGCGAAUAUAACCUUAAAGAUAGUGGCUUGAUACAUGCCUUGGAGCCUUGUCCUAUUUUUUUUUUCUGUUUGAGUUUCGUUCGUGUGUUCAAGAUUUUCCUCACCGGAGAUUUGAACUAACAAUUUUAAGGUUAUAAGAUUCAUGAUGACUACCACAACACAUGAAAGUGGAACACUAAGGGAGUUGGCUUCUAACUUUGUUAAACUUGAUUGGUUUGAUGGUGACAAUUUUGGACGAUGGCAGAAAAAGAUGCACUUCUUAUUAUCAACUUUAAAGAUUGCUUAUGUUUUGCAUACUCGAAGACCUGAAGACAAUGAUAACGAAUCUGUUGCUGCAACUCGAGAAAGACAAAAAUGGGACAAUGCUAAUUACAUGUGCAGGCGCUACAUAUUAAUGGUUUAUCUGAUGGUUUGUUCGACACCUACCAAAACGAGGUCACCGCUAAAGAAUUAUAGGACAAAUUGGAGACAAGAUACAUGACCGAAUAUGUUACAAGUAAGAAAUUUCUUGUCAGUCGUUUCAAUAAUUAUCAAAUGGUUGAUGGUCGUUCUGUUAAGGAACAAUUUCAUGAUAUUGAAAAGAUGUUGAAUCAAUUAAAGCAAUAUGAUAUGAAAAUGGAUGAAAUGAUUGUUGUAUCCUUCAUAAUAGACAAACUUCCUCCAUCUUGAAAGACUUUAAAAGAAGUCUAAAACAUAAGAAAGAGGAAAUAUCUCUUGAGGCUUUGGAAAAUCAUCUUCUUAUUGAAGAAGAAUAUCGAAAACAAGAUCAGAACCUAAAUUCUGAAAAUGCCAAAGUACAUGUUACGGAGAAAAUACAGACUAUUAAACCAUUCAAGAGAAAGUUCAAACAGGUUGAUAGAGCAACUAAGUUCAAAAAGAAACAAAAGGGCUCAUACUAUCAUUGUGGAAAGCCGGGACAUUGCAAGAAUGAAUGUCAAUUUUUAAAUAAGAAAUCAUCUUCUAAGGCUAAUAAUAACGAAAAGUUCGUUGCAAUGAUAUCUGAAAUUAAUAUGGCACAAGAUGAUAAUACAUGGUGGAUUGAUACCGGAGCAACCAAACAUGUGUGCAAAGACAAAAGCAUGUUCACAAAGUUCACACAAUGUGAAAAUGAUAAUGUCUUGUACAUCGGAAAUUCUUCCACCGCAACAAUCAAAGGCAAAGGGUCUGUUGAACUACAAUUCACUUCUAGAAAAGUUUUAACCUUAAAUGAUGUAUAUUAUGUACCAGAAGUUAAGAAGAAUUUAGUGUCUGGAAGUCUGUUCAAUAAGUUUGGUUUCAGACUUGUUUUUUAGGCAGAUAAGUUUAUUUUUUCUUAGGGAGGAAUUUUUGUGGGGAAUGGGUAUAUGUAUGAGAGUAUAUUCAAACUCAAUAUUAUUAAUAAGAAUAAAAAUACUAUUUCUACUUAUAUGGUUGAAUCUUUUUGUUUGUGGCAUUAUAGAUUAACUCUUUUGAAUUAUAGAAAAUUGAAUGACAUGUAUAAGUUAGAUUCAAUUUUUGUUUUUAAUAAUAAUAUUGAAAAAUGCAAUACAUGUAUGUUGACUAAAAUUACAAGAAACCCUUUCCCUAAGGUUAAAAGGAAAACAAAAUUGCUUGAUUUGAUAUAUAGUGAUUUAUGUGACAUGCAUAAUACUCCUACAUUAGGUGGAAAGAAAUAUUUUGUUACUUUUGUUGAUGAUUGUUCUAGAUAUUAUUAUGUAUAUUUAUUACAUUCAAAAGAUAAAGCGCUUGAUAAAUUUAAAUUUUAUAAAUCUAAAGUUAAACUUCAGUGUGAAUCAUUUAUCAAGUGCUUAAGAUCGGAUAGUGCUAGAGAAUACUAUAAUCCAAGUUAUUUUUAAUCCACUGGAAUUGUCCAUUAAGUUUAAGCCCCUUACACACCAUAACAAUAUAGUGUAGCUGAAAGGAAAAACAGAGUCUUGACUGAAAUGAUAAAUUCAAUGUUAUCAUAUUCAAGUCUUGGACAAGGUUUUUGGGGAGAAGUUGUUCUAAUAGCUUGUCAUAUAUUGAAUAGAGUUCCUAAUAAGGAAACUAAAAUAACUCUCUAUGAGCAAUGGAAGAAAAGGAAACCAAACCUUAAUUAUUUUAAAGUUUCGGGUUGAGGAGCUAUUGUCAAAGUUUUAACACCUAAACGUAAAAAUUUAGGUGAAAAUGAAUUGAAUGCAUAUUUAUAGGUUAUGCACAUAAUAGCAAGGCAUAUAGGUUCAUGGUAAUUGAACAUAAUGAUUCAAUUUCAAUUAAAUCUGUUAUUAAAUCAAGAGAUGAUAUUUUUGAUGAAAAUAGAUUUAAUUCUAUAUCAAGACAAGUACAGCCACAACAAUUGAUUCAUUCUUCAAAUGAGAAUGAUAUUCCAUUGGAACAAAUUGAUAAUAAUGAUGAAUCUUGUCAAGAAUUAAGAAGAAGUAAGAGGAUUAAAAAGGUCAAAUAUUUUGGACCAAAUUUCAUUAUGUUUCUUGAAGAAGGAAAAGGUGAAAGUAUAUGCAAUAAGAUACCUUAUUGUUAUAAUACUGAAUCUGAUCCUAUUACAUUUGAAAAGACAAUAAGAUACCUUAUUAUUUUAUGAUGUGCCUUUAUGGCCUAAGCCAAUUUCACCUAUUUCUAUCUGUUGUGAUAGUGAGGUUACUCUAGCAAAGGCAUAUAGCCAAAAUAUAAUGGAAAGUCUAGACACAUUGGAUUAAGACAUAGUUAUGUCUGACAAUUAAUCUCUAAUGGAGUGAUCACUUUAAUUAUGUGAGGUCAAGUAAAAAUUUGGAGGAUCCUUUGACAAAAAGUCUUGCUAGAGAUGCAGUAAAAAAGACCUCAAAAGGGAUGGGACUCAAGCCCAUUAAUUAGAGUCACCCAUGAUGGAAACUCGACUCAACGCUUUGUAUAAUAUCAAGUCUUGAGUUCAAUGAUACAGCAAUUGAUUAUUCUCCAGAAAAUGGAUGAAAGAAUAUUAGGAUUUCUACAAAUGUUGGAGCAUUUUACCGGAUAGCUCUCCAGAACAUUAGGUGUUCGUAAGAAUGUAUCCCUAGAUCUAGAGCACUAGGUGUCCUUGAUCAUAUAUUGAUAUAAUAAUCCAUGUAUUCACCUAUGAAUUCAGAAUUAGUUAAUAAAAUAUUCAGGUAUGUGCAUUUCAAUUGAUUGUUCGAUCUACAAUAAAUUAAUAGUUGUACUCUAAAAGUGAAUAAUUAUAAAGAAAUGUAUUUGAGAUUAAUAUUGAAUAUAAUGACUAAAUUGAAUGAUAUGAUAAUGGAACAUGGUAAGAAAUAGAAAUUGUUAUAGGGAAAUGAGAAUGAAGUUGAAAUAUGAGAAAUGUUAUGAAGGGUAUUAAGUUAUUUGAUAAAUGAAAUUGAGAUGCAAACCCUGAGGGUGCAUCGAUAUGCUUAUAUACGAAAUGGAAAUCAAGUUAUGAUAUCUGCAUAAAAGCUUAUGGAUUGAUAUUAUGAGAUAUUUGUUUUAUUAUAAACUUUAUGGUAUGAUAUACUAUAAUGGACUAGUAACAUGUUUAAUUAUUUGUUUAUUUGUUAUGCCUUGCUUUGUUAUUCAAAUUGUAUUGGCACCACUAAGCAUCCAAUGCUCAAUGUACAAACAUGUUUGUUCUGUGCGUAGGGACUAGGCAUAUAUCGAUCUUUUUUAUAUAGUUCAAAGGUAUUCAAAGUCAUACAACUCAGCUCAGCAAGGUCCUUAUAAUAUUCUUUGGAAAUACCUUUAGUAAUGGCAUGUACCUAGGCAAAUAGAAAGUAGUUAAAGUCUAUGUUGUUAAUGUUUGCCAUGUUGUUGUUUUGGAUGAUUGUACAUAUUUUCAUAAGUUAAUUUCAAAGCACAUAUAUCAUGCUAUGUUCAAUGUCUUAGUAGAUUUAUGAACUUCUUAUAAGAAGAAUAUGCUAUUGAUAAGUUAGUAGCUUGCCUGCCAAGUAAGCAAGUUUGUUAGUUAAGCAAGAUAAACCCUUUAGCAUGUAUGUAUCCAUAAUGUUUGGAGGUAUUAUAAUGUGUGUAAAUGAUGUUUUAAACUUUAUUUUAGAGUUUAUAAGUCAUGGUAUUGAUUCGGUAAUGUCUAGGGUCAAAAUAAGUAGAUACAAGGUUAAUUUUUUAAGUGCAGGAGUUAGGGGUUCAGUACCUGUACCCUAGGUAUCGGUACCUAGCAAAAAAAAUUACAAUUGUUUUACAGUAACUAGGCUAGUUACCGAUGCCUAAGACCAUAAGUAUCGAUACUUAAUCCCCAAUCAAGGUUCCUACUCUAUUUUGUUGCAUUAAAACCCUUAGAAUCCCAUACUUGGCCUUGGACACCUCUGAAUACUUAGAAAUCAUUUUAAAAUGUUGCUAAAUUAUUUAAAAAGUCUUAAUUAUGAAUUUUAAUGAGUGGAUAAUGUUUUUUUAAUUGACCUCUUGAUGAUUUCUUAUCAAAUACAAAGUGCAAAGUUAGCUUGAGUUCUUUCAGUAACGAAUAAUGUGGUGUCUUGCAUUCAAACUUGGCAACUGGGACAAGUGUGGGUGUUUUAUUUCUUAACUUGGAAUAAAAUAAUCCAGAAGAAAUAUCUCAUUACAAACCAAUUAGUGUCAAUAAUUUUAGCUACAUGGUAAUACAAAAGAUUAUGGCUAAUUAGUUAUGCAUAAUUCUUGUCAAUGUUGUUUCCCCUCUUCAAUUGACAUUUGUCAUAGGACAUCUGUAACACCCCAAAACCGGCCUAGAUGUUACGGUCUGGUUAUGAAGGUCACAUUAAUACAUAAAACUUUGACCAUUUAUUUUCAUGAAAACUUAAGUUUAAAUUGAGAGUAAAUAAAUUAAAUUAAAUUAACAAAAAACAUAUAUACCAGAAAACGUAACCAUCUUCCUAGUAGUGUUGUUGUUACCAAAAAUUUAGGUAAGUGCGCUUUGAUGAAAACAUUGUUUUAUUAAUUAUUUAAAAGCAAACCCAAUUGCUUCCACUACUCAAUUCGUAAAGCAACAUUUUUAAAUUCAAAACUUUGCAGCAGAAAAAUGCUUUAGGGCUCUACAUAGAGUUUCAUCUAUUAUGCCGUCUUGUUAAAAAUACCAAUUAAAAGUAUACAUUCGUAAAAUAAAAACCAAAACCACAAUAAUUAUCCUACAAACAAGUUAAAAAGUUUGAAAGCCCGUAAAGUCCUAAAUAAGCCCAAACAUACUUAAAGUUAAAAUAUCUUAACCGAGCUCUGGAAUCACUGUCAAAUCCUAAGUUUGACGAUUAUUUGGAAAGUAUCAAAACAAAUGAAGUGAACUAGAAGUCCAAUGUGUGUCUUGGCUCAUAUACAAAAUUUAUUAUUAUCAUGCUCAAAUGCAAACCUCAGAACAGACUGAACAGAAAACCCAUAUAUUCAGAAGCAUAUAUCAGAAUAGAACAAACCCUUCUCUCAUUCGCUACACACCAACUCUGUCCAACCAAUCACAACAAAUAGGACUACAAGUGUCCAUCCAUCUAAUCACACUAGUACGUAGUGGUAUGCCACUCAAAAAGUUGCAGCUAAGUUUCCAUAUUGGUAUUGUGGUAUAACCGCCAAAAUUGUAACUGCCAGAAUAGACCUCCUCCAUCACAUAUCAAACCCCGCCCUGAUGCAUAUACAUAAACAUACUAACACAUACCCAUAACAAAUAAGAAAUAUGGCAUGCAUACGUUAUUGUCAUAUUCACAGAUCAUAUCAUAUAGCCUACACGGAGUUUAUUAAACCAAAUCAAGCUUUCUAAUAUACAAACACUUAAAUUUACCAAUUUUAUGGUUUCACAUGCUUACAAAUUAAUUUCGAAUUUGAUUUUAGAGUAUCAAAUCCGACCCAAAUUGGGCCGAACAAAUUGACCAAAUUGGGCUCACAUGUCCGUGUAGCCCACACGGCCUAACAGGCCAAACUGUGUGGCCCACAUGACUUUCAUUUUUCUCGUGUAAUCACACACGCUCGUGUGCUCCACACGACCUAGCACACAAUUGGCCACACGCUUGUGUGGUGCACUACAAUUUCGAAAACAACUUGCAUUUUUCAAAUUUUCCUGAGUUCUAAUCAAUGUUUCGGGUUAGAAUCACACACCAGAUAAUAUUCCUGAUUAGUUACACAACUGAGAACUCUCGAAUCCUGUAUACGACAUUAAACCAUGCCCAUUCACAACCAAAAAUUAAACCAACAUUUAACUUAAUAAUUUCCUUUACUAAAAAUCAGUUUCCAAAACUGAUAUUUGGGCACUUACUUCACAAAAAUAGCAUCCAAAACAACAACUAAUCCGCCAGAGGAUCCCGAAUAUCGCACCCUUUGCCUAAUUAAAGACCACAAAAACAUUUAACAUAAUGAAGAAAGAGAAUUAAACACCAUUUCAAUUCUUACCUUGCUCAAAGAACGAGUUAAAUCUCAAUAUCAGAAAAUAAUGACAUUACUUACACUUUACUUGGAUUACGAUCUAACAAACAAACUCCAUGCAAUGAUCUCAAAUAAAGAACAGGAUGGCAACAAAGCAAAAUGAAAACUCAGAAAGAAGGGAAUAAGAAAAGGAAAGAAAAUAAAAAGAAAGAGAAGAAAAGUGAAAAGGGAGUGAGAGUGGGUAAAUUGGGGUGAGUAAAAUUAGGGAUAUUUUGCUAAUUCAAAAUAAAAUAAUUUGGUAAUAUCCUAACCCACCAGAUUGUUCAGAAUUUGAAUCUAACUCAACUUCGAACACAUGGAAAAGAAAAAAAAAAUUCCACUUUUGUGCACAACAAGGCUCUAACUCAAGACCCCCUUACAGACUAAAGCUUUACCACUAAACCAAUAGGCUCAUUAUUGUCAGCAACUCACAAAAUCAAAAGAUAAGCCCUAAGAAUCAAGUUUGACAUAAUUCCAAAAUUAAUGGGAAAAUUCCAAAACAAGGGAAUCGAACUGAAGACUCAAGUAAAACAUCCAAAGCACUUAACCAUCAUACUAAGGGUGGGUUUGGAUGGGCGAUUGGGUAUGGUGCGGUGCAGUGCGUUUAGCUUACUUUUUGUCUCAUACUACAGUAUCACUAACUUUAUCGACUGAGUAAGAUUCCCAUAAGACUUUUGUCUAUCAAAAGUGGCUUUAAGUCGAUCUCGAAUUAAUCUAACUUUAUCCUCAAUCUCAGAAACUAACUCCGAUCCCAUAAUCUUCCUCUCACCCAACCCGGUCUAACAAAGUGGAGUGUGACACUUAUGACCAUAUAAAGCCUCAUAAAGUGCCAUCUGAAUACUAGACUUAAAACUAUUAUUAUAAGUGAAUUCAGCUAAUGGAAAAAACUCCUCCCAACUACUCCAGAAGUCAAUAAUACAACUCCAAAGUAUAUCCUCUAAAAUCUAAAUUACCCUCUCGGAUUGACCAUCAGUCUUCAGGUGAAAUGUUAUAUUGAAGUCCAGCUGAGUACCGAGAGUUUCGUGCAGUUUCUUCCAAAAUCGAAAAGUAAAUCAAGGAUCUCGAUUUGAAAUAACCGAUAUUGGAAUCCCAUAAAGCCUAACUAUCUUAGAAAUGUAUAACUUCACUAGCUUCUGCAAAGAAUAAUCGGUCCUAACCGAAAUAAAAUGAGUAGACUUAGUCAACCAAUCCACUAUAACCCAUAUCGGAUCCUUUUUAGUAGGUGUUAAGGGCAACCCACUAACGAAGCCCAUAGUUACAUGUUCCCAUUUUCACAACGGACUCUUAAAGGGCUGAAGCAAACAUAAGGGCUACUAUGCGUUUCCCGCAGAAUGGAUUGCUUCAAAUCCGCAUCACUCGGCACACAAAUCCGACCUUGGAAACCUAGAAUACCAUCACUAUUAAACCUAAAAUUUGAAGUUUUACCCUCAUCAAUCUGUUAAACCUGACCGAUCAGAAACUCAUCCAAAAGUUUUUUUAUCCCUAAUCUCAUUCAUCCAAGUUGGCUUAACUUGCAACUUGGCAAAAAUUCCAUCAUCAUCAAACAAACUUAGGUGAACAAACAUCGCCCUCAACUCAGACAUAGAUCUCCGACUAAGAGCAUUGGUCACCACAUUAACCUUACCAGGAUAAUACUCUAUCGUGCAACUAUAAUCCUUAAGCAACUUGAUCCAUCGACAUUGUUGAAGAUUCAACUCCGUCUGAGUGAGGAGAUACUUGAGGCUCUUUUGAUCAGUGUAAAUGAUACACCUUUCACCAUAUAGAUAGUGCCUCCAAAUCUUAAGAGCAAAAACAACCACAGGUAGCUUGAGAUCAUGUGCUAGAUAACUACCUUCAUUAUGCUUAAGAUCUCUGGGUGUAUAAACUACUACCUUACCCUCUUGCAUUAGAAUACAACCCAAAUCAGUGUGAAAAGCAUCACUAUACACAACAAAUUCUUUCCCAACUUUGGGCUGGACUAGAAUGGGUGUCUGAGUCAAACUAGAUUUGAGCAUCUCAAAGCUUGAUUACUUCACAUUAGUCCACACACACGGUGCAUUCUUACACAAUAACUUAGUUAAGGGAGCUUCUAUAAGUGAGAAUCACUCGCAAAAGCUUCGAUAAUAAUCCAAAAUAGCCUCUAUCUUUUUAGGGUCCACUCGAAUACCCAUGGCAGAAACCACAUGCCCUAGAAACUUAACUUCACUCAACAAAAAUUCGCACUUACUUAACUUAGCAUAGAGCUCAUUCUCUCAAAAAAUCUAAAGAACCACUAUAAGAUGCUCAUUAUGCUCAACCUUGGUCUUAGAGUAUACUAGAAUAUCGUCGAUAAGCACUACGAAAAACAAAUCCAGAUACGAUUGAAAAACUCACUUCAUGAGAUCCAUGAACGUAGUCGAAGCAUUUAUCAAACUGAAUGGCAUGGCAUGGAACUCGUAAUGCUCAUAACGAGUCUUAAAGGCAGACUUAUACACAUCAACUUCCUUUACUUUCAAUUGAUGAUAUCCAAAAUGAAUAUCAAUCUUUAUGAACACUGACACCUCAUGAAAUUGGUCAACCAGGUCACCAAUCCUCGGAAGUGAGUACUUAUUCUUUAGUGUCAAUUUGUUCAACUAGUAGUAAUCCACGCGCAUCUUCAUAGAAUUAUUUUUCUUUUUGAUAAAAAGAACCGAUGCUCCCUACGAUGACACGUUAGGUCACAUAAACCCCCUAUCUAGAAGUCCUUGAAGUUAUAAUUUUAACUUUUUCAGCUCCUUUUUGUUCCAUACAUUAAGAAGCGAUGGAUACCGUAGCAGUUUCAGGCAACACCUUAAUUCUGAAUUCAACCUCCUUAUCGAGUGGUAACCUCGGUAAUUCCUUAGGAAAGACAUCCGAAAAAUAUCUAACAUUUCAAAUUCCUUCUAUAGCUGAUUCCACAGCACUCGUGUCAUACAUAUAAGCCAAAUAUGCAUCACACCAUUUUCAGACCAACUUUUUCACUACCGUAGCGGAGAUCACAUUAGAGAGGUAAUCUUAGCGCUUGCCGACCAUCACAACCUCAUUUUUAUCACCAACCUUUAGAGCCACUCUCUUAUAAUCACAAUCCAAACCAACCUGAUGCUCCACCAAUCAAUCCAUACCCAAUUUCAAAUCGAACACUCUAAACAACAAUUCCAUCAAAUUAGCCAGAAACAGAAACCCCUAAAUCUUAAGUGGGCACCUCCUAAAUACCUUACUAACUUAAACUGACUGCCUCAACUAACUAAUCACAGAAAUCUCACAACUAGUAUCCUCAGCCAAAAUCCCCAGAUUACCAGAUACACUACUAGUAAUAUAAGAAUGUGUGGAGCCACAAUAAAUCAAAGCAAAACAAGGAUGUGAAUGCAUAGUAAACGUACUGGCUAUCACAUCGGUCGCAUCUCUAUCCUUACGGCGCCUCAUCGUGUAAACCAAAGUAGGUUGUCUUGGCUCAGUCUUAACCCCACCUUUGCCCAGUGCCCUCAAAUCAUAACCACCUCCAUUAUCACCCCUAAGCUAACCACGACCUCUAGCGGGCUGCUAAGCUGCCCCCAAAGGCUGAACCUGAUCCUGAACUAGAGCUCACCCUGGUUCAACCAAAUGAGGCAACUCGAUGCUCAGUAGACCUACAUCUAAAGCAAGCUCCAAUCCUCAUCCAAUGCUCGCUCGAAUGGCGUCUAUUAUAGUACUCACAAAUCGAAACCUGCUCAACCCUAACAAUCGACUCAACCUAUUAAGGUCUAUCAACCCUGGCCCAUUUCAUAAGCCACUUAAUAGAAGUAGAAGGACCUUACUCACUUUUAUUCUUAUUCUGGCUCAUUUCCUUAUCCCUUUUCUCACGCUCCACACGCUUAAUCUCCUCAAUGAUUUUCGCCUUCUCCACAAAAGUUUCAAAGACUCACUUUUGCUGCAGAGCUACUAAUACCUUGAUGUCAUACAUCAGCCCCUCCUUAAACUGGACACUCUUGUCAUAGUCUGUCUCAACCAAACUCUGAGCAUACCCACUUAACCUCAGAAAUUGGGCUUCAUACUCGACCACAAAUCUCUCACCCUGAGUUAGCCCAAUUAACUCGUAUCUACGGGCCUCAAUGUAACUUGCCCCUACAUACUUAUUCUGGAAGAAGUUCCGAAAGCAUGCUCAAGUCACGCACUCAAGCUAGGUGCCCUACUCAACGAUCAUCCACUACUGACAUGCCUCGUUGUGAAGGAAAGAUACUGUUCUCUUCAGUUUCUGCUCGGGGGUGCAAUCCAGAUUGUUCAUUAUUCUUUCUGUAGCCUCCAACAAGUACUCAGUCAUAGUAAGGUUGAUCCGAACGACACCCUUAAAUAACUCUACCCUAUUCAACCGAAUUCAUUUAGUUACUGACCUCGGCUCCCAGAUCCAAAGUGGGUCUCAGCGACCCUUUUUAAUACCCUCAACAUCCUCGAUUCCUUAUGCACACAUAUCUUAUCUAUAAUUUCAAAGUUUUAUGAAUUAGCUCAAGUUGUAAAAAUCCUAAGUUUAGAGUUUUAUUGAAGUUAUUUAUUAGAGUUUACAGAAUGUUUAAUUACUACAGUCUCUAAAGGUAAACAAUUUUACUAAAGUAACUAAUGUAAAAGUAUCUAAAAUGCAUCUGAAGUUUGAAGUUUCUUACUUGAAUCGGCUUCGAAGUAUCAGUUCCACUUUACAAAAAUUCACAAUAUUGAUUUCAAUCAAAAUUUUGAAUUUUUUUAAAACAUUUUGAACCCAAAAUUCACAGCCCGAGUUUUGCAACCUGGCUUUGAUACCACCAAUUAUAGCACCUCAAACCUGGCUUAGAUGUUACGAUCAAUUUAUGAAGGUUACACGAUAUAUAAAACUUUGAUAAUUUAUUUUCAUGCAAACUUAAGUUUAAAUCGAGAGAAAAUAAAUUAAAUUUAUUUAACGGAAAACAUAUAUACCAUAAAAUGUAACCAUCUUUCUUGUAGUGUUGUUGUUACCAAAAAUUCGUGUGAAUGCACUUUGAUGAAAACAUUAUUUUAUUAAUUAUUUAAAAGCAAACUCAACCGUUUCCACCAUUCGAUUUGUAAAGCAACAUGUUUAAAUUCAAAACUUUGCAGUGGAAAAAUGCUUUACAAUUCUUAUUUUUGAAAAAAAUAGAGUUUCAACGAUUCUGACGUCUUGUUAAAAAUAUCAAUUAAAAUUAUACGUUCGCACAAUAAAAACUAAAACAAAAAUAAUUGUCCCGUAAACAAAUUAAAAAGUUCAAAAGCCUGUAUAGUCUGAAAUAAGCCCAAACAUACUUAAAGUUAAAAUAUCUUAAUAGAGCUCCGAAAUCGCCACCAAAUCCUAAGUCUGAGAAUCACCUGAAAAACAUCAAAACAAACAAAGUGAGUUAGAAGCCCAGUGUGUGUCUUGGCCCACAUACAAAAUUUAUUAUUAUCAUGCUCAUGUGCAAACCUCAGAACAGACAGAAUAGAAAAUCCACAUAUUCAGAAGCAUAUAUCAGAACAUAACAAAUCCAAUCUCUAUCCGUUACACAUCAACUCUGCCCAACCAAUCACAUCAAAUAGGACUACAAGAGUCCAUCCAUGAAAUCACACCAGCACAUGGUGGUAUGUCACUCAAAAAGUUACAAUUGUGCUGCCAGGCUGAUAUUAUGGUAUAAUCGCCAAAAUUGCAGUUACUACCAGAAUACACUUCCUCUAUCACAUAUCAUACCCCACCCCAAUACACAUACAUAAACAUACUAAUACAUGUCCAUAAAAAAUAAGAAAUAUGACAUGCAUACGUUAUUGUCAUAUUCACAAAUCAUAUCAUAUAGCAUACAUGGAGUUUAUUAAACUAGAUCAUGCUUUCUAAUAUACAAACACUUAAAUUUACCAAUUUUAUGGUUUCACAUGCUUACAAGUUAAUUUUGAAUCUAAUUUUAGAGUCUCAUAUCUAACCCGAAUUGGGCCUAAUAAACUGAACAAAUUGGGCUCACAUGUCCGUGUGGCCCAUACGACCUAGCAGGCCAGACUGUGUAGCCCACUCGCCUUUCCUAUUUUGCCCAUGUAAUCGCAAACACCCAUGGGCUCCACACGGUGGUGUGACACACUGUAGUUUCAAAAAUAGCCUGCAUAUUUCAAAUUUUUCUGAGUUCUAAUCGAUGUUUCGGGUUAGAAUCACACACUCGAUGUUAUUUCUAAUUAGCUACACAAGCUAAAACUUUCGAAUCCUACAUACGAUAUUAAAUGACGCCUACUAACAACCAAAAAUUAAAACGAAAUCUAACUUAAUAAUUUCAUUUACUAAAACUCAGUCCCCAAAAUUGAUAUUUGAGCACUUACUUCACAAAAUAAGCAUAUAAAAAAGCAACUAAUCCACCGGAAGAUCCCGAAUCUCGCACCCUUCACCUAAUCAAAUACCACAAAAAUGUUUAACACAACGAAGAACUAGAAUUAAACACCAUUACAAAUCCUACCAUGCUCAAAGAAUAGGUUAAAACUCGAUAUCAUAAAAUAAUAUGAUGUUACUUACACUUUAAUUAGAUUACGAUCUAACAAACGAACUCCACGCAACGAUCUCAAAUAAAGAACAAGAUGGCAGCAAAGCAAAAAAGCAAAGAGAAAAGAAAGGAAGAAGAAAACAAAAUUAAAAAGAAGAAAAGAAAUGUCAAAAGGGAGUAGGGUGAUGGACAAUAAAGUUGGGUGAGUAAAAUUAGGGAUAUUUUGUUAAUUCAAAAUAAAAUAAAAUAAAAUAAUUUGGUAAUAUCCCAACCCACCAAAUUAGUCAGAAUUCGAAUAUAGCUCAUCUUUGAACACAUGGAAAAGAAACCAAAAGAAUUCCCACUUUUGUGCACAACAAGGCUCAAACUCAAGACCCCCCAAGUAAGCUAAAGCCUUACCAUUGAACCAGUAGGCUUAUUCUUUUUAAUAACUCAAAAAAUAAAAAAAAUAAACCCUAAGAUUCAAUUAUGACAUAAUUCCAAAAUUAAUGAGAAAGUUUCAGAACAAGGGAAUCAAACUCAAGACUCAAGGAAAACAUCCAAAGCAGUUAACCACCAUACUAAAUCAAUUUAUUUGACAUAAUUUAACAAUCAAACCUAAGAAAAAUUGGGGCUUUACAUUUUCAAAUCGAAGAUAAUAUUUGUAUAGCAUUUGAGGCAUUUCAUGCAUGAAGAAACGUUAAUGGGGAAUAAAAGAGAUAAUGGCUCUCAAAUUAGACCUAAGAAAAGCUUAUGUCUAUUUUGAAUUGGAAUUCCUUCAAGAUCUUUUAAGAUAAUUUGGGUUUUACAAAUGGUGGUUGAUUCAAAUUAUGGAAUGUAUUUUUAUAGUGAAAUUUACGGUGGUUAUAAAUGAAGAGAGAAAGCCAACUUUCUCCAUCAAGAAGUCUCGAUGGUUAUAAAGCGAAUGUGUUUCUUAGUGAAAUUUGCAAUGGUUAUAUUUUAACCUUGAGUUGCAUCAAAUGGAUGUCAAGAUUGUGUUUUUCAAUGAUGAAAUUGAUGAGACGAUUUAUAUGGUGCAACCAGAAAACUGUGUCAUGUGAUACAAAAUUAAUAGUUUACAAAUUAAGGAAAUCCAUUUAUAGGCUUAAACAAACCUCUUUUUAAUGUUAUUAUAAAUUUCACCAAGUAAUUACCUCAUUCAGUUUUAAUAUGGCUUUGGUUAUUGAUUAUAUACCACAAGUUCAAUAGGAGUGAGAUUUUAUCUUUGGUUUUAUAUGCCGAUAACAUAUUGGAUUUCAAUAAUAAGUUUAGUCUUGAUUAAUUCCCCAAGAAUGAUUUUGAGACUAAUGAAAUGCAAAUUUCUCUAUACUUCAGUAGUGGAGAGUCUAAUAUAUGCUCAUGUAUAUUGCUUUCAUAUAUUAUGUACAUUGUUGGGAUGUUGUGUAGAUAUUUGAGUAAAUCAAGUAUAGAUAGUUGAAAAGUAGUCAAAUGUUUCAUAUGUUAUCUUUAGGAAACAAAACAUUACAUGUUCACAUGUCAGAGGCCUGAGAAGUUAGAGAUUGUCAAGUAUACAUAAUUUGAUUUUGCAGGAAUAUUGAUGCAAUUUUUUUGUCAUUAGGCUGCAAAUUAUGGUAGCCAUUUAUUCAAAUAAUGAUAGGAGCACAUCAAAUUUAAUGUGCAUAAACUUUAAAUCCAUAAUUGUUAAAGAAAAAAAAUUAAAGUCAUCAAGUGUCUAUGAAGCAUAUUGAGUCAAAAUCUGUAAUGGCAGAUUUUCUCACUAAGAUACUAUCACCCAAGGUUUUUUAUGAGGACACUGCUCAUUUUAGGGUAAUGUCAUUUUAAGAUAUUUAGUGUUAGUGGGAGUUUGUAAUUUUAAAUGGUUUUCUAUCAUAGAAACAUUUUUUUAUUUCAAUUUACGGAUACUUUAAGGCUUUUUUUUUUUGCAAAAAUAAAGUUUAUUUGGUUUGUUCACACUUUGAUUUUGGUAAUGUUUGAUCACACUAAGGCUUAAUGAGGAAUGGUUGAAAAUAAACAUGUUUAGAUCACAUUGCAUGUAAUUUUUAUGUUACACAUCCAUACUUGAUAUAUGUCAUUUGGUUGUGUUAAUAUACGUGAUUAAUGAUGGAUUUGGUUAUGAUAUAUGUAAUGAAAGUUGUCUUAGUUCUAUAUUAAUAUAAUUAAUGGAGGAGAUUUCUCGAAAUACCUUUUGGAUAUGAUAGUAAAGUUUUCAGCUCACGAGGUUAUAUAAUGACAUGUGGUCCAAGUAGAAGAUUGUUGAAUUAUAUAGACGUCACAUAAUAAAAAAAUUACAUGUUAUUAUUUACUAUUAUAGAAUGUUAGCCCAAAUCGAAAGUGAUCUAAAGGGUUAUUGGGCAUUACUUAUUAAACAAAGAAUAAGUUGAAUAUGUGUAGCUACUUGAGUAACUAAUUUCUAAUAUAUAAUGGUCUAAUUAGAAAUUAAGGUUAACGUGGAAAAGCUAUAUAUUAGAAUUAUGGUCCCCAAAUUACACAUACGUAACUUUUCUAACAUCUCAUAUUUAGAAAGGAAAGAGAAUCACCUCUUCUAAAAUACUUGUAUUGUUAAGUGUGACUCCUAUUUUCAGUCAAAUUUGACAAAAAAAAUCUUUUAGUUAAACUAUGUUUCUUUGUUUCAGUCAAACACUGAUUAGUUUAGAUUAUUUUAUUAUUAUUUGACAUAUGAAUUUAGCCUAUAAAUAGGCUCUUUUACAACCUUAGUAAAGACACCCAUUAGAUUAGAACUCAUAACACAUUCAGAGAAUUUUGUGUUUACGUUUUGAGGGUUCUUUAUUUUUCGGGUUUUCGGGGUUUAGUUUUAUCUCCAUCUUUUGUACUCUUCAUUCUUUUGCCAUUAUAGUAAAAUUAUCUUUGCCCGUGUUUUUUAUCCUCUUUGGAGGGGUUUUUCCACGUUAAAUUUGUGUGUUCAUCUUCUCAAUUUUUUCCGCUAUUUUUACUUGUUUGUUGCUUAAUCGGGAUGAUUCCUAACAAGUGGUAUCAGAGCUAGUUUAAUUUUCAUAGAUCAGCCCAUUCAGAUAUGGCAACAACAAGGUUUGAAAUUGAGAAGUUCGAUGGUGAGACAAAUUUUAAUUUGUGGCAAGUUCGAAUGAUGGCAAUUCUAGUUCAAUCCGGUUUGAAAAAGGUUGUUACCGGGAAAAAGCCUGAGAAUCUAAAUAAAAUAGAAUGGGAAGAACUUGAUGAAAAGGCCUUGUCUGCAAGCCAGUUGUGCCUCGCGAAUACGGUAUUGCAGGAGGUAUUGAUGGAGAAGACCUCAUCCGCAUUGUGGAAAAGGUUAGAAACUCUUUAUGCGACUAAGUCUUUGCUAACCGUUUAGUGUUGAAACAACGUCUAUUUACGUUUCGCAUGAACAAAGGUGAGCUUCUUAGAGAUCACAUCAGUCAAUUCAUUACUCUUUUAAAUGAUUUAAAGAACGUUGAGGUUCAUAUUGAUGAUGAAGAUCAAGUUAUGCUAUUAUUGUGCUCUUUACCCCCUUCAUACAAGUCUUUCAGGGAGACCCUGAUUUAUGGCAGAGACAAUCUCGUUCGAAGAUGUGAAGGGUCAUUUGUUGAGUAGAGACAAACUCGAUAAUGAGCUUCAUUUGGAUAGUAAGGCAGAUAGGCAAGCUUCCGUUUUAGUAGCAUCAAGGAAACGAGACAAAAGGUGUCACUAUUGUAAAAAGUUAGGUCACGUCAAAGUAGAUUGUUAUAAACUGCGAAAUAAAAGAGCUGCUGUGAGUAACGAGAAAGAUGUAGCUGGUGCUAAUUUGGCUGAUGAAAGCGGUGAUGAUUUCUUGUUAGUGUCAACGAGCGAUAAAUCCAAGCUCACGUCCAAGUGGAUCCUAGAUUCGGGAUGUUCUUUCCACAUGUGUCCCAAUAGAAAAUGGUUCUCUACAUACAGUUCGGUUAAAGGUGGAGUUGUGCGCAUGGGAAAUGAUUCAUCUAGUAAGGUAGUUGGUAUUGGAACUGUUAAAAUUAGGACACACGAUGGGACAAUUAGGACACUCUUAGAUGUCAGGUAUGUACCUGAUUUAAGAAAGAAUCUCAUCUCCUUGAGUAUUUUAGACUUGAAAGGAUGCAAAGUCAACAUCGAGUCGAGCGGUAUUAAAGUAUCUCGUGGAGCUCUCGUUUUGUUUAAAGGUAAAAGAACUGGCAGUCUUUAUAUUCUGGAAGGUUCUACAGUGACCGGUGAAAUCGGAUGUCCCUCAUCCGUUACAGAGUCGAAGUCAACUUGUUUGGAGCGGAGGCAACGUGGUCAUAGGAGGGAAAAAUAUAUGACCGUUUUGUUGAAGAGAGGUUCUCUUUUGGAUACAGGUUUUGAAAAGUUUGGGCACUGUGUUCGUGAAAAUCAGACCCAGGUUAGUUUUGAUUUGGCAGUGUACAAGUCGAAGGCUAGAAGUCUUCCAGUUUCUAAGCACAGAUUCGACUCAGUUAAUUCCCUGCAUAGUUCAAGAUAGGCUCCUGGCGGGCUUUGGCAAAGAUGGCGUUGUGGAAAUAUGAAUCAAUGUGGAGAUUUGUUAAGUGUGACUCCUAUUUUCAGUCAAAUUUGACAAAAAAAUCUUUUAGUUAAAAUCUGUUUAUUUGUUUCAGUCAAACAUUGAUUAGUUUAGAUUAUUUUAUUAUUAUUUGACAUAUGAAUUUAGCCUAUAAAUAGGCUCUUUUACAACCUUAGUAAAGACACCCAUUAGAUUAGAACUCAUAACACAUUCAGAGAAUUUUGUGUUUACGUUUUGAGGGUUCUUUGUUUUUCGGGUUUUCGGGGUUUAGUUUUAUCUCCAUCUUUUGUACUCUUCAUUCUUUUGCCAUUAUAGUAAAAUUAUCUUUCACCGUGGUUUUUUAUCCUCUUUGGAGGGGUUUUUCCACGUUAAAUUUGUGUGUUCAUCUUCUCAAUUUCUUCCGCUAUUUUUACUUGUUUGUUGCUUAAUCGGGACGAUCCCUAACAUGUAUAAAUUUAGAAGAUAAAAAAUAUAAGAUUUUGAAGAUUUCAAUAUGUUAGUGGAUUCAAGUAUACUUUUGCAUCUACUUUUUUACUCUUGAUGAUCUUACAUGAUAGAUCCGAAUUUAUUUGUUAUAUCAAAUUUUAUGGUUCUAACAUGCUCCGGAUUUACUUAUAUCGAGUUCCCUAAUUAAAUAAAAAUUAAGGAAGGCCUAUUUUUGUUUUUUGUUUUUUAUUUGUUCAUAACACAUUAAAUAAAUUUAAAAAAAACUAUUUAUAUGAAAUGAAUUCUUCAAAAUUUAUGGUUAUUGUACAGACUGAUAUACCAACAAUAUAUUAUAUACAUUAUUUUUUUCAUUUAUGAUUUUUAUUGAAAACAUAACGUAAGGAGAGGAUACUCCUAUUUUGGAUGCCAAAAUUCCCCACCGGAAAAUGAUUACAGGGUUAGUUUUUCUCUCUCUUUUUAAGUUAAUUAUUGGGGUUAUUUUUUGAAGGAUACAAGUACCCAAUGUCUGAUUACUUAAUCCCGUAAUGAUUGGAUUAAUAGAAUACAAACGAUAUUAGAGUCCAACACCACUUACCACCUCUUAUUGGUCUUGGAUUGAAUGGUGAAUAUUUGUGUUGAUACAGUGUAGAAUAAGGGAGGAGAAUAAGGAGGAGAAAUGGAGGUCGGUUCACUUAAAGAUGUCAAGAGUCAGAAUAGGGACAAGAGGAUAUGUCGAUCAAGAUCAAGAUGUAAUUUUAGGGUGUUGGCCAUCGAUCCUUUCUUCCUUGUUCAUCAGGUUAUUUAUAAGAGAGGUCUCUUUAUCCAUUAGCGUGACGUGGUGGGAUAAGCAUUCAAUCCCACUAAAUGUGCAAAGGAAAAUUAUGAGCCUAUAUCAUGAGACUCAUUCUACUAUGUUUUCAAUCAGUUGAGAGUGUUAUGCCUAAAUGGGCUCAUUAUAGCCUUACAGGUGUGUUUCUAAUUCAUUUUAAAUGGGCUCAUUUUAACACUUGAGACUCGAACUUGGUCCCGAUCACCUCCGAACACCUAGAAUUCAUUUUAAAAUGUUUUUGAUUCAUUUUAAAUGAAUUGAAAUUGUUUUUAAUCACUUAGUAUUGAAAUGAGUAACGAAUAAUUGAUGUUCAAAAUUGCAAUUGAAGUGGAAGUCACUUUGAGUUACUUGGACAACAAAUGUUGUACUUAUAUUUGGAUCCAACAAUCGAGUCAAGUGUGAGCAUAUUUUUACCGAAGAAAAAAACAACUAAUAAACUAAGGACAGAUAUUUAUUCUAAUAAUUAAACCAAGAAAGUAUGCAACUAAGUACGGGGUAGGCAAUCAUCAUUGGGUAGGGACUAAGGGCCCAGAAUUUGUAGUGGAAGUUGAAUGCUCGAAUAUAUUAAUAUCGAAAAUUCUCAUAAUUUCAAGUACAAGAUAUUUUUGAAUACCAAAUUAAUCUUGACGUUUGAAACAAAAUUUGCAUUUAGUAAAGUUAUUAAGUAGUUUUAAAUGAGUUACAAAAAUAUGAGAUCAAAAUAAUACUACUAUGUCUAUACAACAUCAAGACCAGAUGUACUUGCAACAAACUAAAACCUCUGCUUCUAUGCUGCAACAGAGGCUUCAUCAACUUUACUUUUACUAUGUUCACAAAAAGCAAUGUAUUGUACAGAUACAACGUGUGCAGAUAAUAUAGAUCACUCCAUUCAUUUUCAUUAAGACACCAAGAUCACACACAAACACAUCUCCAUUCCCUUCUUUGGACCACAUAUAUAUUUUACAUUUACCAGGAAAACGGAAGUAAUUUCUAAAAAUCCAUAAAUACAUUUGCUAGUGUAAAUAAUGACUAAAUUUCCCCUGUAGAGUUGAUUAAAUAGCUAACCAUGAAAUGAAGCAUAGCUGUUGACCAAAGCCAAGGCAUUACUUGUCAAAUGAGCGAUUGUGACAAUCUUGGAUCUCACAGCAGUCUUUACACUGCCGUUCAUGUUUUUCCCUCCAAACCCGUCGGCGCAGGUGUUCUCAUCCGUCAAAGCAGCGCUAACCCAUGUCUGUAUAUCGUUAAUCAUUAGUCCAAAAUUGGAGCCUUUAAGCUGACCCAUCUCGCUGAUUGACUUUCUCAGCUCAUCUAUCGUGUCCUCCAAUUCCUCCACGCAAUCUUGCAUGGCGCCCACCUCUGUAGGCUUCAAUCCUUGGCUUUUGGCAAGCUUCACCAUCAAGGCCGAGGUUGACUUGGCGGUUGAAAGGGUCACGUUUAGGGCGGCAUGGGCGAUGAGUUGGGGGCUUGUUUGGAUCAUGCUAGCCUGUGUUAAGAGAGAUUCGUAACAAAGUUUAGGGUAAGUCGUUGAACUACAAGAUGUUCUGAUAAACUCAAUGCUAGUUUUAGGGGCAAUUUGCCUACCAGCUGAACUUAUAUUUAUCAAUGAACUAAAGGCGACAAGAAUGAGAAGGAAUCCAAAAGAAUUAUAAGAGAAUGCGCUUGCCAUAUCUCUUGCUCUUUAUUUUUUCUAUUUUUUGUUUUUUGUUUGCAAAGAAAAAU